UGCUGAAUCUGAUCGCAUAGAUGGGUUUCUAUCGCGUAGUUUGAAGAUCGGAUUCUUGAGGUACUUCUUAGGAGUUAUGAGAUAUUUCUUAGGAAUAGAUAACAACAAGUUUUAAUAUGGAUUGUACGGAUAAGUUUUUCCGCAAAGUUUUAAAAUAAAAGAAAAUUUCUGAUUUUAUUUAUUUUAAAGUAUCCUUGCAAUGGCAUUUGAGGAAAAAUUGUUUCUUAUAUGAUUCCAUUAAUAGCAAGAGUGGAAAUAUGAAAUUGAUUCUUUCAUUUGUGGUAAUGUCUAAAUUUACCAAAUAAGGAAAGAUUCUCAUCACCCAAGUUUCAAUUGGACCGGAACUUGGAAUCAUGCAAGUUGUAUAGCAUGAUGAAUGAGAACUUUCAAGUAUUGGAAAAUUAAGACUAAUUGCUUGUUCACAUGGAUGUGUGAGUCAAGUGAAGGACUAAGGGAUCGAGUACACAUUCUUGUGCACUGAUUAAGUGCACCACAAAAGAUUGAUAAGACUAUUCGUCAUAGUUUACUAAAGCUCAGUAAAUAUGAUUAUACUUACAAGCUUAAGUGUAACUCUGAGACAUUGGAAAAAGGUUCCAAUGUAAGGCAGAGCGAAUAAGAAGAAUCAAAUUAGGCAGAAGGAUAAAAGUUUCUCAAAUCUGAAAAGAUGGGAGAGUACUUUAGUAUCAGUUUUGUGAUCAUCUUAAUGAUUAAGAAACCAUAUCAAAAUUAUUUCUCUAAGGAAAUCUUAGUGCAUUCUUAUGACUAAGAAGAGGAACUUGAAUUGUUGAAAUGGUUAAAUCAAGAAGAUGAGUCAUACUUCGUUCCAAUACAAGUCUUAGAGUCAUACUCCAAGAUUGUCAUUUGAGUGACAUGUCUUAAAGAAGGUUUAAAACACUUGUCAAAUGUAAGAGUAAAAGUUUUCUACUCUUGUACAUUUGAAAUUGGUAAGUUGUGAUGUUUUGGAUAAAACAAAGACCAACUUAGGCCAAUUGUGUGAAGUGUUUGUCUUGAUUAGAAUCCACACUAUCUCUUGGAUAUUUGACAAGGGAGUCUUAUAGGUCAAGAGGACAGUGGGAGUCUUAAAGGUCUUGAAAGUCUCAAGAACUAAUCAAGAAUAAAACCUGAAGUUCUUCACUAGCACACGACUUGAGGUUUAUAACCUAUCGUGUUGACAUAUUCUGUGCCCAUUCCAGUUAAAGUUGGCUUUGCAUAUGAGUUCUUAGAGUUCUCAAUUUGUUGCACAACAACUUGGAAGCAAUGGUAGGCCCUUGAGCUGCCAGGUGGCAAGAAAUUUAGAUUGAGUUCAAUCCAUAUGAGUUUGGAUUUGUCAUUAUCCUUGUCUUGUGACUAUGGUUAUGACAAUUCACAUAGAUAAGAACACAUACACCAGCAAAUCUAAGUGUCAUAAGGUUUCUCUACGAUUCAUGAAAAUGAUGGUGAGGAAUCACUUUCACUAAUUAGAUUUUAGCUAAAUAGCAAUUGUGAUAUUUGCAUUCUCAAAUUCAUUAGUGGAGCGUGUGCGGUUUACCGGCACACUAACCUGGACUUGUGAGAAGUGGCAAAAAGGUCUAACCAUUAUGAUUACGACAUCCCUCUUCAUAAUUGUUUAGACACACAAGUGUGCUAUCUCAGGGAAGGUGUAUGAUUUUGAUAAAGUUUUAUCAAAACAAUCUAGUAUCAGAAAUCUGAACUUUGGUAAGAAAGUCAAUGAAGUAUUGAUUUCUAGAAGUCCAGCUGAUUUCUGAGUACAUGUCAAAGCUAGUGGGAGCAUAAGUGUUAUGCUAAUAAUCAUCAUGUUAGUGGGAGCAUGAUAAUUAUGAUAAGUAUUGCAAGCUAGCAAUGUUAAUUAUAGAAAACAAAAGUUUCAAUUGGGAAAAAGUUGUUUUGCUAUAAUUAAGGGAGAGGAAAUUAUACUUCAUCUCAAAUCUAUAAGCUUAGAUCGUGAGGUUUUAAUCAUUUAGUCAAGGAUAUAUAUGAAUUUCAUGUUGGAAUGGCUCAACAUAAGGAAAUUCUGUAUAUGGGUCCAUUAUUUGCGUUCUAAAAUUCGAUUAUGAUUACGGCAUCCCUUUUCAUAAUCUGAAUUAUGAGAACUUGGCAAAUUGAAAUGGAAAUAUUAUAGCAAAAGACUGGUUUAGUCUUUAUGUAAGACAUCAUGAAUCGUGUCCCAUAUGCUUCGGAUAUAGGAUCGAUUACAUGUGCUAUAUUCAUCCGUUCUAAAAUUUUCCAAAUGCCUGGGGCAUUAAGAAGGGAAAAGGUUUAGAACUGGAUAUGACUAAAAGGAUUAAACAAUUGUCGAGGACAAUCUAAGGUUUACCAAAGAUUGGUUGCUCAAGGACAGUUGGAAGUAUAGUGAUAAUUCUGGAAGGACCAUAUUGACAUAAUCUGUAAGGAGGCAACUCUUGUUCAGAAGUGAUAGUCAAAAUGGAAUCUGGAAAUGUUUCAAAGUUAGAAUUUUCAAUCUGUUUAAGAUUAGGAAACUUAAUGCAAGAAGGAUGUUUCCAAGGAGCUGAUCUCCUUUGGAAUACUCUGUAAUGAUUGUUGUCAAGUCUUUCUGACUUUGUGCAUAAUCAUUACAAGAGGAUCAAUGCAUAUAAGUUUAGAAUCUAACAGAUUUCAGUAAAUGGCAUGAAUUUGGAAUUCUUGCAUUUGCAGUAAGGAUUUGGGAGUGUGAAAAGAGAAUCAUUGAAGUUAUGUUCAAUUGAUCUAGUUCACAAAGUAAAGAUCAUAGACAAACAUAGUAUGCAUACUUGGUGUGUGGCAUGACUAGUGUUUAAGAAAACAUAGUGUACAUGCUUGGAGCAUGGGACAACUAUUGUUUUAAAUUCAAGAAUAAAGUUGAUAGCUGAAACAGUAUACAAUGAAUAAUGUGUAAUCAUAUGGUGAUAAAUAAAAGGUGUUUUAUUUAUGUUCAAAGUUUUGAUACCAUAUUGGAUUCAAUUAUUAUUGUGUUUCACUUUGCAUGUUUUGACUUCCCGAAUAAACUAGGUUAUUCUUCCGGAAUGACUAAGUUAUUCAAACCAUCCACAGUCGGUCAUAUGUUGGAAGUAGAUAUGAAUUAAGACUGUCAUGGGUUGGCUUGUAGAGGUCUAAGGUGUUGGACAAAGGGCUACAACACUCAUGAGUGCUCAUAAGUUCUGAGUAUUGGAUUCAACCCGCGCUCAUUGGAAUCACUUCAUGGAUUUUAUCACGAGUGAUCAUGAGACGAUAAUAUCUUAUAUUCUUCAAACCUAGAGAUAUGAGUUGUUACUAUGAGUUGAUAGUACAUUGAUUGCACGAAAACGCAUUUGGUAACUCGGUGCUAUAAAACGUGCCUUUGUGUAUGAUUCAACAAGUAGUAGAACAAGCCAUAUGAGUCGAAGUUUAUCCAUUCCUUUUACCUUCGGGAUAAAAGCGAUAUCUGUGGGCCCCUCGAUGAUUUGAUGAUGACAAAUGGAAGUGCUCGGCCGGGCCAGGACUGAUUUGAUUUGUUCAAUUAGUCAGUCGUCAUAAAUCGGAAAUCGGGAAACAACAAAUGGACAGAGAGAAUGAUUAUAAUCCAUGUCUCAGUCCAUAUGAUAUCUAGAAUGGAGGAAUAUAUGAUCCCUUAUCUAAUGGACAAGUCAUUGACAAAGGUCAGAGUUCAUCUACAAGGUCAGAGUUCGACAGAAGCUUUUGAGAGCUACGAUUGCCAGUUGGUUCCUGAAGUCAUACGCAAUAAUAGUUUUAGACUUAUCCAAGUGGGAGACUGUUGGAUUAAUGUCUAAGUCCAUAACUAUAAUUGGUAAGACUUGACCCGACCCGGCAUGGUCCAUUUGGGUUGCAUGGCAUCAUGCACUUGGAUAGACUAUAAUGAGAGAAAUAAGACACUUAUGGUUAUUAAUAUAUUAUAAGUUCUAGUAUAUUAAUAAUAAGAAUAAUAAGAUUAUUUAAUUAGUAUUGAUCAAGAAUUAAUCUAGGAUUAAUUAAGUGAUCAAAAGAAGACUAAUUAAAUAUAUGGGUUGAUUGUGUAAAUCAUCCAUACUUGUAUAGUGGGCUAAUGCUCCAUGGAUAAUCAAGUUGGGCUAAAACCCAUAGGAUGGUCCAUGGAUGCUCCAUGGUGUAUUUGAACCCAUGGAUCCAAGGAAAUGGAAAGUCAUGACAAUUAGGGUUUACCCUAAUUGUAACACUAUAUAAAGAUCUUAUUCUUGACCAAAAUCGGCCACUAGAGUGUGUAAAAAUAAGGGCUAGCCGAUUUCAUGAGUUGUGGCUUUCUCUCAAGUUAUUCCAAGUGUAUUUGGUGUUGUGUGAACCAUUUGAGGUGUCACACUUGGGGCACUAGGCACUCAAGCUUCAUGAAGACUUUCUACAUCAAAGAGGUAUGUAUUCUAUCUUGUUACACUCAUUGUUUUGUAUGCUAGAUUAGGAUAAUACCUUGGAAGGUUCAUAUUUGCAUGUAUAAUAGAGAAAACAUAGAUCCAAGGUAUUUAGGGUUGCAUGUACACUUAGGUGUGUUAAAAUGCUCAAAACCGAUCACUUUUGACCUAAAAAGGUCCAAAUAUCCAUAAUCUAGAUCUAAGCUUCUAUGAGGAAAGUUGGAAGAUUUAUACCUCGAGAUUGUCUGAAUUGAAGCAACAAUCUCAAAUCUACAACUUCUCCUUUAAACCAUCACCUUGCUUUGCUCUUUACUUGCUUGGAAAAUGGCUUCACAACACAAAAAUGCUUUCUAAUGGCCUCCAAAGCUCCAAGAAUAGUCAAAGGAGGAUAAGGGUUUCGUGGUGGCUGUCUAAGAAUGAUAGGGAGCCUGAUAUCUAGGGCAUUAUUUUCUUUAUAUAAUGCUUAGCCCCCAAAAUUAGGGUUUAGGUUCUCUGAGCGUAUGUUGGGCGUACUUCUCGUAUGCUCGGUGUAACCCAACAUACGUUGGGCAUACCCAACUAAACAUAUGCAUACAUUCCAUGCAUGCAUGGGGGCUGCCUUGUUAAAAACCUCCAUUAGGGACUAAAAUUGACAAUAACUUCAAUAUUCUAUAACUCCUUCAUUCUAAGUCCGUUUCUGACGAACUUUAUAUCCAUGAAAAGGUGGCGAGAAGCCCUACACUCCUAGCAACAUCGCGAAGCCUAAUACCUUCUGCAUAAAACUCGAGACCCAUAAUAGACCGAAUCGUCUAUACCCUUGCCCUCCGAAACGACAUUCGAAUACUUCCAUAACUGGGUGUUACAGUUUUGGGGUUUUAUCUUGAUUUUAGACUCAUGGUUAAGUUUCCCAAGAGAUUGAGUAUUCCAGGGAUUAUGAUGUUAGAUCUAGCCAUGUUAUGGCAUCAUUUGGCUUAAUGUUGCAAACUUUACUUGGUCUUAGGUCCCAUUUACGCAUUAAGUCCUUUAUUAAAACCAGUUUGAGUCAAAGGGUUCCAUUUUAGCAUGCGUGGACGUAAAAUUGGAAAAUUUACGUGAUUUCUGAACCCUAGGGGACCAGAUCCGCAUAUUGGGACUUUGUUUUGAGAGUUUAAGCGCUUAAUGGGUCAACCAUCACUACAAUAAAUCUAGGGUUUCGGUUUGACUCGACUUGGAUGGUUCCUAAGGGUAAAGUUGGAAACUUUACCCUUCUAAACAUCAUUUUGAAGGAGAUCUAAGAUUUGAAGCUCUUAGAUUCGAUGGAAAUGACUUAAUGUAUUAAGCAGAUGGAUUCCUGGAUAACCCGACUAGUUUAUUAGGUGAACUCGACGAGUUGAUGUGUGUUUUCCCGAUUUGUGCAUUUAAUGGAGAAAUUUGACGAGUUAAAGGAUAACUCAACGUGUUGGGUCAACACGGACCGUUAACUUUUAUCUUUGACUUUAGUCUUUGAACAAGUUUGACUUUUAAGGGAUUUUAGGGCAUUUUGAGUUGUAUUUAAGAAAUGGUUUUUGUUUAGUGUUUUAGUAGAGCUGAUAUUCAGAGGCGGGACCUAGUCAGUUAUCACUCAGUAUUUGAGGUGAGUCUUCUCACCACACUAAUGGGUUGAAGGAACCAAGGCUGGCCCAUUAUUGAUCGUUAAUUAUAUGUAAGGGAAUAUGUAAUGGUUUGUUAUUGGAUUUAUAUGUGGACUUGUGUGUGUAUGCGUGUAUAUAUAUAUAUAUAUAUAUAUAUAUAUAUAUAUAUGUGUGUGUGUGUGUGUGUGUGUGUGUGUGUGUAUAUAUAUAUAGANNNNNNNNNNNNNNNNNNNNNNNUAUAUAUAUAUAUAUAUAUGUGUGUGUGUGUGUGUGUGUGUGUGUGUGUGCAUGGUAUUAUGUGAUUAUAUGAAUCUUGUGUUUUCGGAUUCUCACUAAGCUUGUGCUUAUAGUUUUAUUGAAUGAUUCAGGUACUUCUAUUGAUAAGGGCAUGCGCCCGGCUUGAUGACGCGGCGUGCAUUCUCUAGUGUUUUCACAUUUAGUUUUCGUACUAUGAAUUUUAUAAUAAUAUGGAUAUGUAAUAGGAUUUUUGUACUCCUUAUGGUUGAUGUUUAUGAAAUUAAAAGUUAAAAAUUUGAUGAAAAAUUUGGGUUGUUACAAGUGUUGGGUUUUGAGCAUUCUAACACUCCUAAGUGUACAUGCAACCCUAAAUACCUUGGAUCUAUGUUUUCUCUAUUAUACAUGCAAAUAAGAACUUUCUAAGGGAUUAUCCUAAUCUAGCAUACAAAACAAUGAAUAUAAAAAGAUAGAAUACAUACCUCUUUGAUGUAGAAUGUCUUCAUGAAGCUUGAGUGCCUAGUGCCUCAAGGGUGACACCUCAAAUGGUUCACACAACACCAAAUACACUUGGAAUAACAUGAGAGAAUUCUACAACUCAUGAAAUCGACUAGCCCUUCUAUUACACACACUAGUGCCGAUUUUGGUGAAUAAUAUGAUGCUUAUAUAGUGUGCUACAAUUAGGGUUAUGCCAUGUAAACCCUAAUUGUCAUGUCCUUUCAUUUCCAUGACCCAUGGGUUAUGUAACCUCCAUGGAGCAUCAAUGGAGCAUCCUAUGGGUUUAACCCAACUUGAUUAUCCAUGGAGCUUACUAUAUAAGUUAUGGAUGAUUUGCACAAUCAACCCAUAUAUUUAAUUAGUCUUCUUUUGAUCACAUAAUGAAUUCUAAANAUCAACCCAUAUUUAAUUAGUCUUCUUUUGAUCACAUAAUGAAUUCUAAAUUAAUUAUUGAUCAAUACUAAUUAAAUAUUAUUAUUCUUAUUAUUAUUAUACUAGAACUUAUAAUAUAUUAAUAACCAUAAGUGUAUUAUUUCUCUCAUCUAGUCUAUCUAAGUGCAUGAUGCCAUGCAACCCAAAUGGACCAUGCCGGGACGGGUCAAGUCUUACCAAUUAUAGUGAUGGACUUAGACAUUAAUCCAACAACAAGUUGGUAUCAGAGCCUUCGUUAGAGGGAUUGAGGCACACUUAUGCGUGUGUCAGAACUCAAACUGAGGAAAUGGUAACAAAUUUCUUUUCAAAAAGAAACCAAAGUUCAAUUUCAUAAAAACGAUUUUGUAAGAAAAAGUGGAGAAUGCAACGCGUGUAAUUGGCCAAGAUCAAGUAAGUGUUCCAAAUGUUUUAGCCAUGCUAUAGUAUAUAUGGAAACUAAUGUUGUAUGGAUUAUUUUCUUGGUGUAUGCUUUCAAAGCUAUACAUGUUUAGGAUUGCAUAGCCCUAGAAUGAGGGAAAUUUGCCUUAUUCAUGUUCCUUGUUUGGAUAUGUUUUAGGGUAAAAGAUUUAUUUUAUAGUCUAUGCGAUUCCCUUUGUGUAUAACUUGCAUGCAUUGGGAAACAUGCUAGGUUUGAUUUGAGUUUAUGGUUUGGUGAGGGUUGAGAAUCCUAGAGCAGUCUAGGAUCUAAGUUAUUGUUGUGUUUAUGAGUUAUGAUUUGUGAUUGGACGAUUUAUGGUAUAAGGUAUGGCUUUAUGGAAGGUACACGUAGGUGUGGAAGGUAGUAUCGGACCCGUACUACUGAAAGCACGAAACCUGUACCCGAAUCAAAGAAAAAUAUAAUAGUUCUUAGAUGUCUGGCGAGGAGGAAUCUCUUUUGAACUCUUUAUCUUGGUUAUUUGUGAUAUUUUCAGUUGAGGAUGGUGAUGAUCACACAAAGUUUAGGUUCAGGAUCAGGAUCAGGUUCAGGCUCGGGUGUAGAGCCCAUCGAUGAGAGGCUGCAUGAUUUUAAAGAAACCGAGGUUACUCGUGGCAUCCUUCACGCUACCCUGGUGAUUUCCGAGUCGAGAUUAUUGUAGGAUAAAUUGGGGCCCGAGCUCCCUCGUUUAGGUAGUUUAAGGUGUACGGAACACCUAAGUUCUUCAGGGUCAGGGAUCCUGUCACUAGUUAAUGUUGGGUGGCAGACAUGGAGAAUUCCUAGCACACGAACUCUUGCCCCGAGGAGGCAAAGGUGGGGUUUUCAUCUUGUAUGUUGAGGGAUCGAGUACGAGAUUGGUGGGAGGAGGUGACCUGCAAGGUGGGAUCCGCGGUUAUGGCUGAGAUGUCUUGGGAGGAGUUUGUGAGGAGGUUUGAUUAGGAGUUUGCACCGCCCAUCGAGGUGCAACGUUUGGUGAGAGAGUUUUAAGAUUUGCAACAGACUACCAAGACUGUGGCAGGAAUCACUGCCAAAUUCCAGGAGAGAGCACUAUUAGUCCUGCAGUAUUCCGCAGACGAGGUGAUGAAGAAGACGGUGUAUCAUUCCAUGCUGAUGGAUAAUAUUUGUGAGUUGGUGAGCUUUUUUGGGGUGCAAGACCCUGAUUGAGAUGGUGGAGAAAGCCCAGGAACACGAAAUUGAGUUAGACUCCGCACGAAGUGGAAGCCAGAGCAGGUUCAUGUAGCAGUGGGUUAGACCAAGAAGCCUAAGACCUCCGAUCCUCCUAGCAGGGGCCAGCAGGUCCGUGGUCACUAUGCCAAGUGCGAUAAGCCGCACAGUGGAGCCUGCCGACCAGCGGGCUCAACAUGUUAUACGUGUGGCCAGCUCGGUGACAUGAACCGGGAUUGUCCCAAUAAGGGCUUAAUUUGUUCCCACUGCAACCAGACCGGUCAUAAAAAGGACGAUAGUCCGAGAUUGGUUAGAGGAAGAGGAGCAGCGGGGGCACAUAUGUCCACCAUGAUGAGGAUUACAGAAGGCUGCCCGUCCAAGGCGGAGGCUCCUGUUGUGAAGAGUCGUGCAUUUAAGCUGACUAUUGAGGAGGCCCGAGCAGCACCUGACGUUUUGACUAGUAUGUGAUCGAGUUCUAUUUUGUUUAUUUUGUUUUUAUUCUUAUGUUGUUAUGUGUUAGGUCCAAAAGGUGUUGCAUCUUGGGCUCGGUAAUUAUUCUAUUUAGUCUCUGGUAUGGGCCUGUCCAUCCGUGAGUUAUUUUAUAGGGUUUUGUAUUUAUAAGUGCUUGCAUGCAUUCUAAUACAAAAGAUUUUGGAAGUAAUUCUGUCAAGUAUUUUUGAUCUUUAUCUUUUGUAACCCUAAUAUCCUCUACAUCGGAAGUUCUUUAUCGAGCUCUGCUGAGGAUUGAAUCAAUCGAAUCAUUCGACUUAUUCAGAUUCAGUCUUGUGUUUUAUAUUGCUGUUUUCGCUUUCGUGGUAUACCUGUUAUAAGAUCUAAACGAUCAAAGAGUUUCUUAAACUCAUCAAUUGGUAUCAGAGCAGGAGGCUGUGUAAUUUAUACACAUUUCUUCUGUGAAUGAAGUGAUUAGGGUUUAUUCCGCAUUUACUGAUAUUUAUUGAGCCGUCACUCCAUAAUUGACGUAUCUCAUUAUUUAUUCGUCUUGCCCUAAUAUUACGUAUUACAAGACUGAUCUUGCAACAGGUUAAACGAUAAAGCAUGGACGAUUCUCAAUCCAAUCCCAUCAACAUCUCGAACAGUAUAGGAUCUACAACUAAGAUUCCAAUUCUUUACACUCAAGAUUACGAGCUUUGGGCGCAUCAUUUCGAAGACUACAUCAGUGGAUCUGAAGAUAAUGGGUAUCUGAUAUGGGAAGCCAUUGUGUCUGGACCAUUUGCUCAUUCAGGAACAUCCAAAAUUAUGAAAACUCAAAAAGAGUAUAAUGAUUUGUUAAAAGAUGUGAAAGAUGUCGCUCGGGAAGAAAAAGGAGAAGUUUCAGUGCAACAUCAAAGCAUUGAGACUAAUUCGAUUCGCUCUUCAAUCUGACACGUUUAGAUUGGUGAGUUCCUGAAGUACAGCUAAAGAAAUCAGGGAUCGGAUGCGAGAGCUAUAUUCCACAGAUGAAGAUUUGGAGCACUCAAUUCAGACCUUGCUUCUGUCUGAGUUUGGAGAGUUCAAGCAAAAUCCUGAUGAGUCUGUUACACAGACGUUUGAUCGCUUCAAUCAUCUUCUCAGCAAGAUGAUCAAACAUGACACUGAAAGGAAGCUUAUUGAACAUAAGGUCACUUUUCUGAAUGGUCUAAGAUCCGAAUGGAGAGCUGUUGUGUCUACAGUUAAAGGACACGAGCAGUUCAAAUCAUACUCGCUGGCAAAACUGGUGGGAAUUCUAAAAUCCCAAGAAAAGAUAGUGAUGCAAGAUAAAAGUGUGGUCUCAAACUUGAGGUCCUUGGCCCUCCUGGCUAAAAGUAAGAAUGCAGUAGAAGACGAAGAUCUGAACCUGGAGGACUAUGAUCUAACUUCAGANAAGACUAUGCCUUGAUGGUGUAAAAUCCCAGAAGGUUUAUCAAGAAAAAUUUUCCUUCCAACAAAAAUCGUAAUUGGCAAGGAAGCUAUAGUUCCAAAAGAGUAAAAGAUGAACCGAAGGUUGAGGAGUCGAAAAAAGGAAGCUAAGGGUGAUGCUGAUUCUGGUGUCAGUUGCUUCUACUGUGGGCGAAAGAAUCACUACGCAAAGGAUUGGAUGCUGAAGAAGAUGGCUGAGAAAGACAAAGAGAAAGAUGAAGAACCAAGUCUUAUGAAAAGACUGGAAGAAAUAAAAAGGAAGAAGGCUGGCACUAAUCCUUCUAUGAAUGCUCUUAUUGUGCAGGGUUCGAUAGAGGAUGACGAGUUCGGUGGCGUACAGGUGUGGUCGACCGAUUCUGAAGAUGAUGAGGUGAGAAAACCUUCGCAUGGAAAGGAUUAUGUUGCAAAAGAUGAUGACACCAGUGGAAGAUGUCUGAUGGUAACUGAUGUAUCCUAGAUGAGGGGAUAUAAUACUGAUGGUGGAAAUGAAGAUGCCAAGGAGCGAGAGGACUUAUGCUUCACAACAAAACCUCUAAGUGUGCAGAUCAGUGAACUUGAUGAACUGAUCAAGAAGGUACAAUCCAUUUUCAUUUCUUUUAAAAUUCCAUAAAAAUCCUAUUAAAAGGAAUUAAAUAACUUGAAUUCAAGAAUCUCAAAUCUAGAUAGUUGUUUAACUCAAACACGGGUCACAAAUUCUAACCUGACUGACCAAAUAAGCAGGGUGUCCUCCAAGAGUGAGGAGCGAAGGAUGUGGAUCGAACAGAAGGAGUUGGGGCUAAUUAAGACUAGAGAUGAAAACAUUUAUUUGCAAAGAGACAAUUUAAAAUUGUUAAAACAAAGAAAUGUUUUUUGUUUAAUCGCUAAAAGGCUUUAUGCUAACAUUACUCAACUGCAUCUGAAUUAUGAAAUAGGGCAGAAGAUACAUCGCAUGAUUCUACCCUUCCUUGAGUUCAAAGGAUGAAAUCGAUGCUGAAGCAUACAACUGUGAAAGUGUUGUAACUUUCGAUGAUGUGAAUCCUACUUAUAUGUAUGGUCUGGAAAAAAUAGAAUCUUUUAUAAAGUCCAAAGACCAUAAGGACAUGCUUAAAAAUCUUCUGGAUGAAAAUGAUAAGCUGAAAGUCAAGACCCAAACCAUACAAAAAUUUGACUCAUUGAGUGCCAAUUAAUGUUCAGAAAACAAAAUUGAUGUAGAAAACGCAUCUGAACUUAAUGAGGACGAUGAUAUGAGUGAAAUUUAUGUAGAGGAUGAAGUCGACUGUUCUGAAUUUGUCAAGAGCGAACCUGAAAAACACAAAAACCUAAUUUCUGAAAAUUCUGUAGAAUUCGCUCGCAUGUCCACAUCUAAGUCCCCAGUCCUUAAAGAAAAAGUUGUUGUGUUUCAGAAGGUUAGAACUACUCCCAAUCAGGUGUAUAAAGUCACAGGAGUAACCGAACAUCAAACAGCUGAACUCACUGCUAUGGUGAACGAAGAUAAUGUAGAUGGCUGUGAUGAGUUUUCUGGUCUGCUCCCAUAGACAAUGCAGACGAAACGGUUGGUCUGUCAGAGCGAACAUCCUGGAAGACUAAAGGAUGAUAUGUGCCAGAACCGCUGAAUAAGCCUACCAACUUUGACGUACCAAGUACAAGUGGCAAAAAAGAAAUUCCUGUAGAAGAAGUCACAUCUACAAGCGAAACCUCAUAUAUGAAGAGCGAACCUAUAGCCAAGAAGCUGAAACAAAAAGCUAAUAUUCACAGACAACCGAAACAUGUGAAAAAUCAAAAGCAGCAGAGAAAUCUUAAAUACAAGAAAAAUCUCUCAGAGCGAAAGCAGUUUUGGCACUCUCAAAAUCCUCACUAGUCAUACCCUGAUAAAGAUUCUAAGUCAGAGAGAAAGUCUUUCGGGUCAAAUGAAGAACAAAACCGAAAGGAUAGUUUCGGUCCCGAAAGCAACAGUAACCGAAGAGCUAAUUUCGGUCUGCCAAAUAAUAACAGGCAAAGACUUGUUUUCAGUCCAUCAAGCUUUUAUAAUAAAAGACCAAGUUUCGGACCACCAGCAACCAACAACCAAAAAUCCAUCUUCAGCUCAUCAUCGAGCGGCUACCGAAGAUCCAGGUUCGGUCCCACUAAUGACCAUAAACGAAAGGGUCAUUUUGAACCUCAAGCCUGGAACAACUCUCAUUCUAAAUCCUCUUUCUCAAAUUCUUCUCAUUCUAAACCCUCUUCUAAACCCAAUUCAGCUCUUACACAUAAUUCAAGAUCAUCAACGAACAUGAAAGGAAAAACAAAGAUUUCCUCAGUCAAGGAAGACCGCAAGCAGACUAGUGCCCAAACACCAGAAUCUGAAUCCAAAACACCUGUCGCUAAUUCUAACAAAAUCAAUGUGUUUACUAUUAAAAGAAAAGAUGAAACAACCUUAGUAAAACGAACAUAUCUUGUUGAUGUUUCUCUUACUAUUCUUGUUCCUGUGAAAGGCUCACGUGAACCCAAGAAACUUUCGGUCCCUAAAUCUGCUUAAUUUUUCCAGGUUAUUAGUGACGAGCGGUUUGACGAAGAAUGGUACAUUGGCAAUGGCUGCUCGCGUCACAUGAGAGGAAGGAAGGAAGAGCUAAGGGAGUUUCGAUCACUUCAAAAUGGUGGCAAUGUCAAGUUCUGUAACAACUCCUAUGGAACGAUAAAGGGUUAUGGCAUGAUAGCCAAUGGAGACUUCAUAAUAAGAAAGGUGGCAUACGUAGAAGGGUUGCAACAUAAUCUCAUCAGUGUAUCUCAACUGGUGGGCGGUACGGGUCUCAAAGUUUCAUUCGACGAUGAAGGUUCAGAAAUCAACCAAGGUCAUUCUCAAAUCAGAUCAAAAAGGCGAAAUGUUUCCUCUGAAUAUUAGACCAAACAAAGGAAAUCCAGCCAUAUGUCUUUUAUGCAAAGCUCAUUCUGACGAAAGUUGGUUGUGGCACCGAAGGCUCUCUCAUCUCAACUUCAAAGACAUCAACAAGCCUGUCAUCGGAGGUCAUGUUCGGGGUCUUCCAUUGCUCAAGUUUGAUCCAGAACACUUGUGUGCUGCAUGUGAAAUGGGGAAACAAAGUCGUCAAAGUCACCCAUCAAUUAUAAACACAAAAGUGGUUGAACCGCUUGAGUUGCUUCACAUUGACUUGUGUGGUCUAUCAUCAAUCGAGAGCAUUCGCGGUAGCAAGUACAUUCUUGUUGUCGUUGAUGAUUUCUCACGUUUUACAUGGGUAUUCUUCCUGAAGCACAAAUUUGAGGCUACUCUUAAGCUAAAGAUGUUUAUCAAGCAGGUUGAAGUGCAACUGAGAAGAGUCGUUCGAAACAUCAGGAGCGACAAUGGACUGGAAUUCAAGAACAAAGAAUUCGAAGACUUUUUGGCAGAAAAAGGAACCAAUCAUAACUUCUCAGCCCCUUACACGCCUCAAUAGAAUGGUCUCAUCAAAAGGCGAAACCGAUCCUUGUGUGAGGCGGCCCGAAGUAUGCUAAGUUUUGCUUCUCUUCCCUUAUAUUUAUGGGCUGAUGUUAUUGCUGCAGCAUGUUUUACGCACAAUAGGUCUUAUCUCAACAAACGUUUCUCUCUCACUCCUUAUGAGAUCAACAAUAACAGGAAGCCGAACGUAAAAUUCUUCCAUGUGUUCGGUUCACGGUGCUUCCUCUUCAACUCCAACGAACAUCGUAACAAGUUUGAUGUCAAAGCUGACGAAGGAAUUUUUCUGGGAUAUUCUCUUACUUCGAAAGCAUACCGGGUUUUAAAUAAGCGUUCUAGAAAGAUUGAAGAAACCUAUUAUGUGACUUUCGAUGACAACUACGUCAAGAAGCUAAAGCCUACUGAAGAAGCAAUUGGAAAAUCGAUCGUAUGAAGCAAAUUGUCAAAGAUGCAGCCAAACAAAUGGGUGAAGGAGAACAAGUUCCAAAUGAACCUCCUCAGCACUACACUUCAGUUGAGGGGGAGAAUCUAUUUUCUUCAAAUCAACCGAACUCACACUUUCAGGGGGAGAAUUCUAUCCCUGUAGCACCCGAAAGUCCUAUAACACCAGAACGCCCGACUACACCCGAAAGUACUGUAGUACCCGAAAGCCCUGCUACACUUGAAAGUCCAGUAGCACCCGAAAUUUCGGCUACACCUGAGAGUUCUGUUGCACCCGAAGGUCGAAACCAACCUGAAAAUACAAAUGAUUCAUCAUCAGUCGAGGGGGAGAAUUCCGAUAUGUUUUAUGAUGAAGACAGUCAAUCUAAAUUGGAAGAAAUGGUCAACGCCGAAUUGGAUCCAUCCUAUGAUCCAAACUAUCCUCCCUUCAUUAAAUGGACCAGAGAUCAUCCUGUAUCUCAGAUAGUGGGUAAUGUAUCUGAAAAGUUACUCACCCGAUCCCAAGUGAAGGCAAAGUAAACCUCCCUAUUCUUCAAAGUGGAGUUCUGCAUGUAUAAUUCUUUCGUAUCCAAAGUUGAGCCGAAGACAGUCAAUACUGCUCCUGAUCAUUCUGAUUGGGUUCAGGCUAUGCAAGAUGAACUCAAUGAGUUUGAAAGAAACAAGGUAUGGCGUCUCAUUGCAACACCUAAAGAUGCCUCAAUCGUUGGUCUCAAAUGGGUAUUCAGAAACAAAAUGGACAAGGAGGGUAAUGUGAUUCGAAAUAAAGCUCAUCUCGUGGUGAAAAAAUACUGCUAGGAAGAAGGAAUUGAUUACGAAGAAACUUUUGCUCUGGUAGCAAGGCUGGAAUUUGUUCGAAUAUUUCUAGCCUAUGCUGCACACAAGAACUUCGAGGUCUAUCAAAUGGAUGUGAAAUGCGCCUUUCUGAAUGGAGAACUUGAAGAAACGGUUUACGUGGAGCAACCUCCGGGUUUUGUGAAUGAAAAUCAUCCAAAUCACUGUUACAUUCUAGACAAGGCAAUUUAUGGUUUGAAACAAGCGCCUAGGGCAUGGUAUGAAACGCUAACUAAAUUCUUAAAGAUGUCUAAAUUCAAACAAGGUUCGGUUGACCCAACCUUCUUUCGAAAGAAGGAAUGUAACCACCUUAUGAAAGUUCAAAUCUAUGUCGAUGCUAUCAUCUUUGGGUCAACGAAUCCUAGCUUAACUGCUGAAUUCAGAAAGCUAAUGGAGACUAAAUUUGAAAUAAGCUCAAUGGGUCCGAUUAACUUUUUCCUUGGUUUAAACAUUAGUCAGGGACCCGAAGGCAUCUUUAUCAACCAGGAAGCAUACACCAAGACUCUUCUUGCAAAAUUCGGCAUGAUGGGAGAUUCAAAGGUCAAAGUUCCAAUGGAGUUCGACACCAAACUCACACCAUCUUUGGAAAAACCGGCAGUCGAUAUAACGCUAUAUCGCCAAAUGAUUGGUUCCCUGAUGUUACUCACAGCUAGCAGGCCCGAUAUAAUGUUUUCUGUGUGUUAUUGUGCUAGGUUUCAGGCGAAUCAUCGUGAACCACACAUGCUAACAGUGAAAAACAUACUCCGGUAUCUGAAACGAACUACCUCCCUUGGUCUCUGGUAUCCAUCAAACUCAGUAUUCUUUGUUCAAGCCUACUCAGAUGCAGACCAUAGAGGAUGUGGCAUAGACAGAAAAAGCACAACAGGAGGAUGUUAUUUCCUCGACGGAAAGUUGGUGAGCUGGCAAUCUAAGAAACAGACAUGUGUUUCACUGUCAACAGCCGAAGCAGAAUAUAUUGCAGCCGCUUCUUGCACAUCUCAAAUGAUUUGGAUCCAAAGCCAACUCCGGGAUUAUGGACUAAAUAUGAAAAAGAUCCCUCUAUUUUGUGACUCAGAAAGUGCAAUUAGGAUCUAUCAUAACCCAGUGCAACACUCCAAAACCAAACACAUUGCAUUGAGGUAUCACUUCAUUAAAGAUCACGUAGAAGACGGAAACGUAGAGAUUUAUUUUGUUCGAACUACUGCUCAACUGGCUGACAUCUUCACCAAAGCCCUUCUUGAAGCAAGUUUCAAUAAAAUUCUACAAGGGCUAGGUAUGAUGGAAUCGGAUUCAGUACCAAAAACUACUUCUCAAAUCUAAAAGUUGGAAGCAAAAUGAACCGAACGUUCGGGUUCGGUUCCCAUGAGUGCCGAAAUGAACCGAGCGCUCGGGUUCGGUCCUAUUCUCUUAUCCUCGCUUAUCACUUAAAGGUAGUUUCUUUGGUUGUAAACAUUUUGUACCCUUAUUUUUCAUUUUCCAUGUUUUUUUCUUUUCUCUCUUUCAAAUUUUUUUUUAACCGAAAUGAACCGAGUGUUCGGUCUAUUUCUGGUUAGGUUCCAAAGUUUUUUUUAUUUUUCUUUAUCUGCUUUAUUAUUUUUAUAUAAAUAAAAAACUCCAAAAACAUUUUUUUGUUUGUGCUCGUUAAUGUUUUUUUUUUGGAUAUUCAUGGGGAAAUUCUGGUUCUCACGUUUUUAUUAGUUAAGUGUCGCUAGAAGCAUGCUGCUGUAUGUUGUCCAAAGCCUCACUCGAUUCUGAAUAAUAGCUUUACUGACUUGGUAUAUACAAACAUUUUCUUCCCAAUUAGGCUUUUAUAUUUAUUCUAAUCAUGAGUCACCUUACUCCCUUCUCACAUGAGAUAAGAGUUUUCUGCUUGGUCCUUAUUUUAACAGCAGAGGUACUAUGGUUUCUUUACAGCAUCUCCAAUACUUUUCUCCAUCCUAUUCGCCUCAUACACGUAACCCUUGAGACUCUCAGAAAUUACCAUUGCGGUUUAUGGUUACACAAUUUCUGUGUUCAUGAUCUUAGUUUCGUGCCACUACGUGCUAAGUGAAACCCACAAUUCAAUACCUACUAUGCAUUGACGGUGAACAAUUAAAUUUGCUCUAGUUUUCACUAAAGAAUUGAUGAAUUCACCCAUGGGACUGUACCUUGAAAUCUCUGAAUUUUCUCUUUGUGUGAUUCCUAUGAUAUUGUUAAAUCCCAUAACAUUUCUUCCCUUGGAAUCCAGUUUCUAUUUUUUUGAGAUUUUACUUAAAAGUAUUUUCAAUCUGCCACUUAUAUUCUCAUCACACCUACUUGUUCAACAGACUACAUUGGUCUCACAAGUACUUCAGUCGAUUUCUGUCUUAUGUCAAGAUCAGGAAUUCUGCACUGAAGCGAAAGCCACCCAAAUUAGCCUAAUUAAAAGAUGCCUUUCAACACUUCUCAAUAAGUGUCUGAUCGUAAUUCAACAGGAAACCAAACAAACACUUUAAGGUCUCUCUUGACUUUGAAGGAAGAGAUUCGUGCCUGGGAUCCAUUGUUUCGUGUCUUUAUUGACAUCACUAUUUCCCACAUAUGUUUUGCUUUAUUUCUUCAUCUUUUACACACUAUGCACGAAAAUCCUUUUUGAUUUUCCAUAAUUCUGGUUUCAUUACUUAUAAGAUAUUUUUUUUUGCCAUGGAAUUUGAGGCUGAAAGAGAUAUGGCUCACAAUGUUACACGUGGUUAUUUUGCUUUAUGACAACAGCUCGCUCUAAAGGGAUAAGUUGCUGACUCAGCCGAAAGUCCAAUCGGUUUGAUAUUUCAAACGUCCCUUGAUGGGAAGGCGUGUGAAGUGGAACCGUUUUUGACAUUUCAAACGGCGCCUGAUGGGAAGGUGUGUGAUACGGGACAAUCUUUCUUUCUCCUGUGUAAUCAUCGGUGCUCUACAUUGUCACGUGUCAAUCACCUAAGGAAACUCUUCGUAUUUCCCUUGAAGAUUUGGGAACAGAUUUUUCUCUCUCUUCUCACCACGGUAUAAAAGGUAAUUUCUACCAUAAUUUACCUCUUUACUGCACCAAAUAUUCAGAGAGCAAGAAAUGCUUCGUUUCUUCUACUGUUCAUCAUCUCUCCCAAAUCCUUCUCUUCAAUGGCGGACUCAUCCUCAGUUCAUGCUACUUCUUACAUUCUGCCGAUCCGUCCUCAACAAAGCUUGAUUAUCGACCUCACUCCUCAAGUUUACAAUGCGUUCAUGUUUCCAAUCAUGGAAUGUCUCAAGUAUUCGCCGCUGGUUCCAGCUCUCACCAAGGUCGAAACAGUUCCAAUGGAGUGUCUCUCACAAAUAUUCUCCACAACCCACUAUGACAAGUCUGUCGAUCGAAUCUUCUUCGACAUUCUUGAUCACAAGGCCUCCAUCUCCAAGCAGUGAUUUUGUUUGCUUUUAGGGUUUGAGCCCGACGAAUCUAGGGUUAACCCUGAAUCCAUCCCAGUGGGACAGUUAUUUUCCAUGUUCUAUAACAUGGGAUACACUGAAAUUCUGACGACGGUGACCAAAUUCAAGAAAUCUUGCCUUCCUCCUCAAUGGAACGGCUUCUUCACUGUCAUGUUCAAGGGACUUUCAGAACGCAGUGCUGGUUCAAACGGGGCAAGUCGUCUGUUUAUGACUAUUAUUUAUGGGUUGUAUCAUGGCAUCAACCUAGAUUAUGGGUCAGUUUUAUGGAAGCAGCUGAUUUAGAGUCUCGCAUCUACAUCUCGCCAUUCAGAGAUCUCCUAUGCCAGAUUCUGGACGUUGGUCACAAAGUGGGUGAUGGACAAGUAUCACGUUCCACUCGUCGCUGAUUCUCCACUUUCUUCGAUAGGUACUUUCCACACGAUGAAGAUUAUCGUUUCUGAUUCCUCGAAAUUUCAGUUUAUUGGCUCAAUCCCUGAGUCAAUGUACGGGGAUGUUCCAAGCGACAGCCGGAUCAUCAGAACCUACAAGGAAUUUCGUCGCUCUGGUCCCAGAGAGCUCACUCCUGACAUGAUUCAAUCAAUUCAUGAUGCCGGUCGGCCUGCUCCCAGGGGAAAGAAGAAUGACAAGGGAAAAGACAAGAAAGUUGUCAAGGGAGCGAAAGGUCCUUCUCCGAAGAAACGAAAACCCUCCAAAGCAACUCACUCUCCUCCACCAAAGAAGAGGAAGAAUCAACCUAGGCGAAAGCUGAUUCUUGCCUCCUCCUCCAGUGAAUCUGAGGAAGAGAGUUCAGACUCCGAAGAGUCCAUACGUGGUUAUACUCCUCCACGUUCACCUACCCCUGAGGUACAUGAUUUCACUAGACCUGUCUCUCCUCCCCCAAUCUCCAUAUCUAUUUCGAUUCCCCCCAUAACCUCCACUACUCAAAUACCACCCACCUCUAUCCCUGUACCACCUCCCAUCUUUACUGAAGCUACCACAACAACCACCGUUGGAGUUAGAACCAACGUAUCUGAUACGGGGGCUCCUACUACAGCACCUGAAACAACUGCCACUAUCGAACAUACAUCAGCACCUGAACCCACUUUCACAACCGACCCUCCACCCUCACCCUCUCUCUCAUCUCCUGCUAACUCAGCAGAUAAUGAAGAACCUUUUCUUGGCAGAGAGAACAUGACAUUUGACUCGGUCUAUUACAGUUCGUAUCAAAUGCAGAGUGAUGAUGACGAUGAUGCUCCGGUAACCAAGAAGCAUCUCAAGGAGCUUCAUGAGAAAAUUGAUUCUCUCAUGGCUUCCACCUCUUCUUCCUCGCAGUCUACCAUCUUAGAGGCUGCUAUUCAGGGGAUUGUUGAUAUGUUUGCUAAGGCCCAUGAAGCCUCUAUCAACUCUGCCACUGCCGCCAUUGAUGCCUCUACCAAGGCGUGUGCUGCUGCAACCGAAAAAGUCGAAAAACUAUUCGUUGAUGCAUCUUCUCUUUUGCAGUCUUUACAGGGAACUGUUGAUUCCAAUGCAGAGAGGCUUGACUCUCUUGUCAACAAGCUGGCUACCUCAGUUGCUUCUGAACUGCAGUCAUUUGCUGGUCUUCGUCAAGCUCUCAGUGAUGACAACACAUCGUUUAAGGCGACUAUUGAGGAGCGCCUGUCGAAGCUGCAUGAAGACUUAGCUGCUGAGAACUCAGUGAUGGACGCUCUCGCUCGAAAGACCACUGCUCUCAAGGUCAAGAGUCUUCAGCUUUUCCAUUCUCAAAAGGAAGUUGAAUCUCUUUCGAUCUGAACGAGAGGUUAUUUCUUCAUGUGUUUCGGAUGUCCAUGCUGCCCUUUCCAACAUCAUUGAAGCCUAUGAUCCGAUUCUGAAUUACAUGGUGAGGCGCACUCUUGCAGAAAAGCUUGCUCCAGCCCUUGCUCUCUUAAGCAAACUUGACGGGCUCCUUGAGUUCGUGUCCAUUGAGAAACAAGGGGGAGAAGAUGUAUCUCAACCGCCUCCCACUUCUACAGCAACCAAAGCAACCGAACCUCCUUCAGCAGGUCAAGCCUCAGGUUCGGGUGUAAAAGACAAAGGAAAGAAAAUUGCUAAAGACAAUGAUGAUGAUGAUGAUGAUAAAGAUACGAUUGCUGUCACACCCCAAAACCGAUAACGGCGGAAUACGUUUCGGGGUGGAGGACGUCAUGUACAGUAUCAUCACAAUUGCAUAAUAGUAAAAACAAGAUACAUACAACCAUUUCAUUUACAUAGUGAGUUUAAUUAGAAGUGUGUUCUGCAAAGUUUCAAUAGACACCAAAAGUAAUACAAAAAUAAGAGAUGGAUCUUGUAUGCUCAAUCUUCUCCAAAAUGCUGCACCUGUACCUGUCUAUCUUUGACCUCAGGAUACAUGUUAUUUUGAAAACGAGUAUCAGCAUAAAGCUGGUGAGUUCAUCAGAAUUUAGUGUGAAUUUUGUAUAAAAUGUAUUAGAACAUAUAGUGUGAAAUACUGCAAUAUACAUGUAUAAGUAGUAGAAAGCUCUAGAAAAUCCUAUAUUUUCCAGAACAUUCAUCGUAAGUGAAAGACUCUAAGCUGCAUGUAAGUUUUAUCUUUGAAAACUGUUUGUUGUAAAAGUGGGGUACUAAAUCUCCAGUAUGUAGUAUUGGUAAUAGAAAAGUUAUGCCUGUUGACAGUGAUAGUGGUGCAAACUUCCAUUAGUAAUAGAUACUUAUUUACUUCGGGAUAUUAACUGAGACUCUAGUCUUAGUAUUUAGUGUGGAUAUAGUGUAUUCCUUGUAUGUGACUGAUAAUGUGAGUAAUAGAGAACCCCAUGACCUUCCCGGUCAUGCACAGUGUAGUGAAGUAGCGUCAUCCCAGGGCUUGCACAGCUCGGACUGAAGUUAACAAUCGGGAUGUAAUAGUGUCUGCCCCGUAUAGAUCUAUACAUGUAGCGUCGUCUUCCUAUCGGAAAACCCUGGGCAUAGUAUGUAGCGAGUAGAGUAUCUUGUAGUGAAUUAGUGUGUAUUUUCAUAAUUAGUGCUUCCUCUUGUAUUAUAGUGUAGUAGUCUUUUAUAUAGUUCGUAGUGUGCUCUCCCAUUCAUGUAUAGUCUCGUAAUAGUAUGCAUUAUAGUAUGUAGAGUAGCGACAGUAGCGAGUAGUAGUGGCCUUAACUAUACACAUUAUAGUUAACUUAGUGUGUAUGGUUCUUGUCAAUUUAGUAGAUUAGGCAUCAGAUGGAAAGGAAAUGCUUGUAUCCAACACCAAUAUACAUGAUAUAUAACUAUGAAAUCAACAACAGUCGGACGGAUAACAACUACCCUAAGCCCACAAUCAAACAAGAACAGGAAAUAAGGCUAGCUAUCGGUCCUAAGUCCUUCAAGUCUUACUUAUACAAAUAUAUUAGUGUGGUUACAUUUUAUAAGAAAAUUUAUUUAAUAAAAAUCUUGUCCAAAAAUAACAUUUGUAAAAUUGUUUAUUUAUCCAAAAUAGUUUUGAAAACGCAAAGUUCUUUUAUAAGGCAUAGUGGUAAAUCACAUGUGAUUUGAACUACGAAUAGUGAAUCACGUGUGAUUAAUUUUUAUAAACUUGUAUAAUUGACUUGUAUCCCCCCCUAAAACAUAUAAAAACAUUUGAAAGGUUCAUUAAAGGGGUAUGAACUCACAGUUUAUCGUAGGGUUCGAGUGUCAACGGAUGCCCUGAAUGCCAAUGGUCCUUAUAAAUCAUGUGAUGACACAUAAUUGGGUUAGAAUUAGGGUGUUUCAUGCUUAAACAUGAUGGGAAAACAUCCUUAGGGCUUGGCAUUACUGAGUACAAGUGUCUCAUGAUCCAUACUUAAUGAUUCAUGCAAGUUUAGGGCCAAAAGUGGGCAUUUGAGUGAGUGCAUGGCCUUGAAAUUGAGUGUGCGGCUGAGGUGUGCGGCCAGAAGGGUGUGUGAGGCUGGACACAAGUGUGUGCGGCUGUUCAGGGUGUGUGUGCAGCCGUACCCUCCUCUUGUGAGUCCAUAUGAAGUUUUUGCUCUUCACACUAAGGAGAUUUGAAUGUGUGCUGCCCUCUUUCAUGAAGGUGUGCGGCCGUACACCUUCAAGGGACUAUGAAUGUGAUGAACAUGAUGAGUUUUAAAGCUUGGGAUUCAAGUGUUUACCACUAAUAAGCUUGAAGAUGAACUAGAUCACAAAUAUGAGGCCUUCAAGGUGUUCUUGGUUGAAGAUUUUAGAGAGAGGAAGUAGACAGAGGGUAAGGAGCAUCCAAAUGAAUGAAUGAAUAGGGUAUCCAUCUAUAUAUAUGUUUGGGUGUGAGGCUGGAAUGUGUGCGGUUGGGUGUGCGGCCGCCCACAUGGGUGUGUGGCCGUACACACAAGAGUGUGGCCGCGCACAUCUCUUUUGGUGUGUUUGAUUCGAUUCCAUGAUGCAAAACACUUUCCAACUCAUCCUAAGACCCAUAACUAGACUGUAUUAUGUCCAAAACACGCAUUUGGAACCACAAGAUUUACAAAGGAUGAUGAAUUCAAGAUUUAAAGACAAUACGCGGACCAAUUACAUAGGAUGAAAGUUUCGGGUUGUCACAUUUUCCCCCCGUUAGAGGGAAUUUCGUCCCGAAAUUUAGAAUUCCUACCGAGGGUAAUUAUAGAACUACUAUGUAAAAAGAUGAGGAUAUUUGAGUUUCAUAUGAUCCUCGCGCUCCCAAGUNGCGCUCCCAAGUGAAUUCCGGUCCCCGCUUGGCGUUCCACCGAACCUUCACAAUUGGGAUGCGGCUUUGUUUCGUUCGUUUCACUUCUCGGUCCAUAAUCUCCGCAGGCUCUUCCACAAGGUUGAGGCUCUUCAUUGACCUCGAUCUCGUCGAGGGGAAUCACGAGAGUCUCAUCGGACAGACAUUUCUUCAAGUUUGAGACGUGGAAGGUAGGAUGUAUGUUACUUAGCUCGUGGGGUAAGUUGAGUUUGUAAGCUACAGGGCCGAUUCUUGCAAGAAUCUCGAAAGGCCCUAUGUACCUUGGGUUCAGAUUUCCACGCUUUCCGAAGCGUAUUGUGCCCUUCCAGAGCGAGACCUUCAAAAGGACUCAGUCUCCUACCUGAAGCUCCAAGGGUUCUCUUCGUUUGUCCGCGUAUCCCUAGCGGCUUUUAAUCGUUCACGAAUCUGUACAAUCUUCUCGGUCGUUUCUCGAAUGAUCUCCGGACCAGUGAGAGCGCUAUCAAGAACUCGUCCUUUAGCCAACUGAGUGUCACCCACCUCAGCCCAGCACAGAGGGGAUCUGCACUUUCGGCCGUACAGGGCUUCGAAUGGAGGUGCCUUGAUGCUCGUACGAUAACUAUUACUGUACAAAAAUUCCACGAGAGGUAAGUGUGUAUCCCACGAUUUACCAAAGUCGAUCGCACAAGCUCGCAACAUGUCUUCCAAAGUUUGGAUCGUCCUCUCACUUUGUUCGUCGGUCUGCGGAUGGUAAGCUGUACUCAUGUCCAGCCUCGUCCCUAGAGCCUUUUGUAGUGAUUGCCAAAAUCUCGAGGUAAAUGUACUGUCUCUGUCUGAGAUAAUAGAUAUAGGGACGCCAUGCAGCCGUACUAUUUCCUUAAGGUAUAUUCUCGUGAGUUUCUCCAUCUUUUCCGUUUCCUUGAAGGGUAGGAAGUGUGCAGACUUGGUCAAUCUGUCAACGAUGACCCAAAUGGUAUCAUACCCACCCAUUGUCUUGGGCAGUCUGGUUAUAAAGUCCAUCGUAAUCUGCUCCCACUUCCAUUUCGGUAUCUCUAUUUGUUGGAGGAGUCCUAAUGGCUUCUGGUAUUCGACCUUUACCUUCGCGCAAGUAAGGCACUUACUCCCGAAGGUAGCGAUCACUGCCUUCAUGUUAGGCCACUAGUAUAGCUUUUGGGAUCCAGAUACAUCUUAUCCGAACCUGGGUGGAUGAAGUAUCGAGUGUUGUGUGCUUCCUUCAUGACCAAAUCUCUGAAACCUCCAUGGCGUGGCGUCCAGAUUCGGCCCAUGAGAUAGUAGGCUCCGUCACCCUUGGCCUCCAAACUCUUAUCCAUUCCACGCAGGGAUUCUUCCAUCACAUUUUCAGGCUUUAAGGCUUCAAGAUGAGCCUCCUUGAUCUGUGCAGAUAGAUGCGAAUGGAUAGUCAUCGUUAAUGACUUGGCUCUUCGACCAAAAUACUCUUUCCUACUUAGGGCGUCUGCUACCAUGUUGGCAUUCCCCGGGUGAUAUCGAAUUUCGCAAUCGUAAUCGUUGAGUAGCUCGACCCAUCGGCGUUGUCUCAUGUUGAGAUCUUUCUGGUUCAGUAUGUGUUGGAGGCUUUUAUGAUCGGUGUACACUAUGCUCUUCGUGCCGUACAGGUAAUGUCUCCAGAUUUUUAGUGCGAAGACGACUGCUCCUAACUCGAGGUCGUGAGUAGUGUAGUUUACCUCAUGUGACUUUAGCUGUCUUGAGGCAUAGACGAUGACCUUGCCUCGCUGCAUCAAGACACAACCGAGCGCCUGAUUCGAUGCAUCGCAGUAUACAACAAAAUCUUCUGUUCCUUUGGGAAGGGAUAAUACUGGUGCGGUGCAUAGGGCUCGGUUCAGGGUAUGGAAUGCCUUCUCCUGUUUCUCUUCCCAAUGGAAUGAUACUCCCUUCUGUGUCAACAUGGUGAGAGGCUUCGCGAUCCGAGAGAAGUUUUGGAUGAAUCUGCGGUAGUAGCCAACAAGGCCUAGAAAUUGACGAAUUUCUGUAGGCGUCUUCGGUGUUGACCAGUUCUCAAUAGCUUUAAUUUUGGAGGGAUCCACAUGGAUUCCUUCUUCACUAACCACAUGUCCUAAGAAUUCAACUCUUUGGAUCCAAAACGCGCACUUAGAGAACUCCGCAUAUAACUUCUCUGACGGUAGGGUUUCCAGGACUCGUCGUAAAUGAUCUCUGUGUUCUUCCUCGUUCCGAGAGUAGACAAGUAUAUCAUCAAUAAAGACGAUGACGAACUGAUCUAGAUAUGGACGACAUACUUUAUUCAUCAAGUCCAUAAAUACCGCGGGUGCGUUAGUCAGUCCAAAGGGAAUCACCACGAACUCGUAGUGUCUAUAACGGGUUCGGAAGGCCGUCUUUGGAACAUCCUCCUCAAGCACUCGUAACUGGUGAUACCCGGACCUAAGAUCAAUCUUGGAAAAGUAACUCGCCCCUUGCAGUUGGUCGAACAGGUCGUCUAUAAGAGGAAGAGGGUAGCGGUUUUUGACCGUGAGUUUAUUGAGUUCCCUAUAAUCGAUGCACAUACAGAACGAUCCGUCCUUCUUCUUUAAGAACAAGACCGGAUCUCCCCAGGGUGAGAAACUCGGUCUUAUAAAGCCCUUGCUGAGCAGCUCGUCAAGUUGACCGGAUAGUUCUUGCAUCUUGGCAGGCGCUAACCGAUAGGGAGACUUUGCUACGGGGGUAGCUCCUGGGACUAGGUCGAUUCUGAAAUCAACCUGACCUUUGGGAGGUAGACCCGGAAGGUCCUCCGGAAAGACAUCGGGGAAAUCGCAUACAACGGGGAUGUUCUUCGGAUCCUUCGCUUUCUGGCUAGUGUCGACAACGUGUGCAAGAAAGGCGUGAUAUUCCUUACGCAAGUAUUUCUGAGCCUGGAUACUAGAGAUGAUGAGAAGGCUCGUACCAGGUUUAUCUCCAUAGAUCAAUAGAGUUUCGUGGUUCGGAAGAUUUAGGCGAAUGGCUUUGUUGAAGCAUAGGAUAUCAGAAUGAUGGAGACUCAACCAGUCCAUACCGACAAUGACAUCGAAAAUUUUGAUAGGGACUAGUAUGAGAUCGAUUGGAAAUUAGUGAUCGUCUAACGUGAGGGUACAACCUAUGUAGAUUUCGUUAGAGCUUUCGGUCUUCCCGUUAGCCAUCUCUACGACGAAUGUUUCUUUUAUUGGUUGAGGGGUUUGUUUGAUAUGUGUUUAAAGUUUUGAUUUAUGAAGCUUCUUUCUACACCACUAUCGAAUAAGACACAGGCAUAAGAGUUGUUGAGAAGAAACGUACCCGUGACUACUGUGGGAUCCGCUACCGCCCCAUUGUGACCAAUAACGAGUAGCCUUCCAUUUCCCCCAGCAUUCGUAGCCUUCGGACAGUUCUUCUUGAAAUGACCAGCUUCACCGCAGCCAUAACACUUCGGGAUCACUCCCGAACCGGAAACUUGCGAGAUAGGAUUGGGAGGGGCCUUGCAAAAUCGCACAGUAUGGCCCUUCCGACCGCAGUUGGAACACUGCAAUUCACGGCAGGGGCAGUUGUGGUGGAAAGGGCACUUGGGACACUUGGGCAAAUUCCCACUAUAAGAUUUUGGCGGUGCAGGAGUGGCUGGAGUAGUGGCAGCAUGGACCGCCACGANGGUCCUUGGAGAGGUUUGAGUUUUCUUUCCUUUCUUCUUAUCCCAUCGCUUCCUCUUUCUGUCAGAUUAAUCAGGUGGUGCAGUGGUAGUUGUGGUUGCUGUUGUUGGAGUGGAAGAGAUUUCAUGGUUGAUCAGUCUCUGGGCCAAUUCCUUAGCACUAUCGAAGGUGGUAGGGUGUCACACCCCCGAACCAGACGGCGGAAACGUCCGGGGGCUGUCGUGACUCAAUUGAAUACCAUAACAUUGAAUAUAUGAAACAUAACAACAUUCGUCACCAUGCAUUAAUAUAAUACAACCAGUAGCGUUUACAUGAAAUACAUUGUUUAAAUAUUACAUUCUCAAAAGUAAUUGUUCGAUACUAAUUAAGCAACAGCGAAACGUCAUAGAGUACAAUUCAUCCUUCACUUAAUCUGUUACCUGAGAAUACAAGUAUUUUGAAAAACGUCAACAUAUGAAAUGUUGGUGAGUUCAUAAGCGGUAUUUGAAGAAAAACAAUGUUCGUAUCGUUUGAAAACCACCAGAAAAUCCGAUAUUUUCUGAAAAGAAAAGCUUUCGAAAACGUUUGUGAAGAUCCAUAGGUAUGCUUGUUUGUUUCUAUACUUGAAAAAAAAAUGUUCAUUGAAGAUGUAUGCAUUUCAAAUCUGUAUGUAUUGAAAACCCUAGGAAAACCCGAUGUUCUCCUAGUUCCUUGAAUUACAUGAAGUUACAUUGAAACCAUUGCAUAGCGUAUAGUGUCAGUCCCAGGCGACGUUGGAAGGUUCUCGAGCAGGAUUAUUUACUACAAACCCGCGUUACACAAACGCCCAGUUUGUAGUUAUACUAACGAUUCCCGAAGGCGUCGUCAGUACUAAUCGCGUUAUCCAAUCGCCCUGACUAGGUGUAGUCCCACAUCCGAAGAGAAAGAGGACACGAAGGCCUCGAUGACUCUAUUAAUCGGUUGGGGAUAAUAUGCGUGCGAGGGGUCCCCGACCCGCCUCGUAAAAUAUGCAGACUUUUCUAGCAAUACCAAGGACCCUUGGGGACCAGUGGUAUACAAGCCAUUGAAAGUCCCUCUACGUUGUGCCAAGUCGGUGAAACUCAACACUUCGUAGAAAAUAUGUGUCUUCGGGCCUUAAGAUCAGGUCAUUGGGCUAGCUAGGCCCAACAAGCAAGAUUUUACACUUUUGGGGCCCGAAGAUGGUGCGUAGACGUCUGUGCACACUCGUAUGUAAGCUAAGUUCCCAAACGUUAUUUAUAUGAAUCGUAGUGUCGUAGUGUUAGUAGUUGUAGGUUUCUAUUGACUCGAGACCGAGCCAAUUCGUUUAACAACGACUUUUGGUAUUGUAAUGUAUUGUAUUUCGUCGAUAGCCGCGGUGCCAUUAUUUGAUCAAAUUGUGUAUAUUGAAUUAGCCUUGAAAUAUUUCUGUUUUCAGCCCCUCAUUAUUUGUAAAAUUUACAUUUUCAACCCUUUUUAUUAAAUACUUCCCGGUUUGGUCCUUAAACUAUUUUUCUUGACAUUUUAACACCAAAAAUUAUUGAAAUUAAUAUUUUUCAGCAUAUUUUUCAUAGAAAACAGUUUAAGUCCCUGAAAAUGCAGUUUUCUCGGUUUUAAUCCCUUCUUUUCGCAAUUUUGACAAUUUUGGCCCAAAUUGGAAAAUUUUUGCAACUUUGGUCCUUUUUAAUUUAAAAAGCAUUUUAAACCUUUGAAAAGGGUUUGGAACACUUAUAGUCCACUGUUUUACAGAAAAUCACAGUUUUAGCCCUCCAAAACAGAAAAAUUCGCAUAAUGGGCCUCAUUGGGCCGAAAAUGUCAUUUUUAGCCCAUUAAGCUUGAAAUUUAUGUUUUUAAUCCUCGAAUUGAGUAAAUUUCCAGAAAUUGUUUUAUUGAAACUGUUUUGACACACUUCAUCCAUCAGAAUUCGUGAUAUGUCAAUUUGGGCCCUUAAUUUUGUAUUUUUCACAUUUUAGGCCCAAAAUUUGUGUUUUUAACCCAAAGAAAAUUAUUACUAAACCACUUAGCCAUUUUUCUUGAAACACUUUGUAUGUAGAAAUAUGUUUGAAGCUAAAAUCAUAAAACAUAAGUUAUAUCUCGGUUUUGAGGGGUUUUAUGGCUAAAUCCAACAAUAAAACACAUAAAAGCAUACAUAUAAGCAUGGAAAUCAUACAAGGCAUACAAAACACAUAUAGAUCUACACUUUCACUUGUAUUCCCCCCCCCNUCCCCCCCCCACAAAACUCAUAAAAACAGAAAAUAGGGGGUAUGAAGCUCACCUUGAGAUUUGGAUUUGAUUUUGAUGAAGAUUUGAGAGAAGAUUUCGGCCCUAGCAACUCCUUGUGGAGAUUUUUGAACUUAGAUGGUUCUAAGGAGUUAGAUCAUGAAAUAAGGCUAUGUAAGAACGGAUUCUUAUCAUUAAGAUGAAAAGUAGGUGUUUAUACAUGAUAACCACUUACCAAGAGGUCGAAACCUUGAAGAACACUCUUGAAACAAACACCCACAUCCACGAUUUUUGAUGAGGAAGGAAGAGAGGAUUUUCUUGAGUAUAAGAGGUAAAGAUAAGAGAUUAUUGUGUUUGAAAUGAGAGAUGAGGGUGGGAAGGGCCUUAUGGCCGUGAAUUAGGGGGAGAGAGAAGGAAGAGAUAAGGUUUUGCAUGGAUAUAUGUGAAUGCAUUGUUACAUGGUGGGUAAAUGACUUGGUUAUCCUCCAAAUAAAAAUGAUGUGUCAUGCAUUAAGCUAAUUAGCUAAUUUCUCUUUUUUUUUUAUAUGGAUAAUGGGCCGAGAAUUGGGCUAGGAGGAAGGAGGGUGAAUUAGUUUGGCCCAAUCCUUUCUUUGGUUCGAAAUUAUGAAGCCCCUAAGGAAAAUUUUCGGCCCAUUGGACUUUUAGGGUAGUUCUCGGCCCAAAUAGGUCCAUGAGAAAGGUGUGGGUUAUUCUAGGCCCAUUAAAGCCCAAAACACUAUAUUUUAAUGAAUGUGAAUUCAAAUAAGGCCCAACUUAAGACUCUUAGCUUAAAAGAGUUAAGUUAAGGGUUUAUUGGCCCAUUAGGUCCAAUAAGAGAAUCAUAGUCCAUAAUGAACUUGAGUCGGGAUAUAUAUAGGGUUUCCAACCCUUAUUUAAACAUAUGAGAGAUAUUUGAAUGAGAGUGAGCAUGAUAUUCCUUUAGAGUAAAAGUUAUUACACUAGGUGAAUGAUUGCAUGAGAGUAGAAUUUCCUCACAAAAAUGCUAGUUGUGACAUAGGGCGUGAGGCUAGAACAUUUCCUCGAUAUGGGGGCACUAAACCCCAGAUGUAUCGUUCAAUCUUCUUGCUUUCGGAUGGGAUCAUGUUCACAUAGCCACCAAGUCGCAGAACCUGGCCGUGUAAGCUAUUAUAUCGGUCCCUACCAUCUUGACGUUCCAGAGUUCCUCCUCAAGUUUCUGAAUUUCGCCCCUCGGGCAGUACUCCUUUCUUAUGAGAUCCUUUAGAGUGUCCCAGCCCAUGGCAUUGGCUGUGACCAAGGAGAGUGCACUGACAUGGCCGUUCCACCAUGUCCAAGCCCUGUUAGUGAGGGUGGCAGUGGCAAACUUGAUUUUGCUCUCUUCGGGGCAAGAGCACAUUUCGAAUACAACUUCGUUUCUUUCGAACCAUUGGGAUAAUGCCAGAAUUCCUCCAGUACCAUCGAAAAAGGUAGGUUUACAGUUCAUGAAGUCCUUAUAAGUGCAUCCCUUCACUCUCUGAUGGACUUCACCAAACCUAGAGUUGCCACCGCUCGCAUCACCAGAGUUCAUUUGAGCCAUGGCUGCUGUCACAGCUGCAUUCACAGCCAUUUGGAACAACACUGGAUCGAACUGCAGAGGAGGAGGUGGUGGAGGAGGGGUUUGAGUUGCUGGUCUUCCUCUACUUGGACGUUUUCGUGGAGGCAUCUUUCACUGGAAUAUCAUAGAAAUGAUAGCAAUUGUAAGGGUCUAUUGCGAUUAUGAUUAGAGUGUUUCAUGGAUUAAAUCAACAUAAUCCAAAGAUCAGAAUGAGAGUCAUAGUAAUAGAGUAGUUAACUGCCAAUUUAUUGGUAUUAGUGAUGUAAUACAGGCUCAUGAAGAAUGACCUAACAGUAGGUUUUACAUCAAACUAUAAGGAAAAAUGUUGGCAGUAUAGAGGUCUAGUUAGAGUACUUUUUAGAGCUAGGAAUGUUUACAGACAAGAGAUCUACGGAACAUUGAGAUAAAAGGCUAGUCCUUUAGAGAAAAGAGUGAGGUACUAGACGUCUUCUACUAGCGACGGUUACUUGUUGGGCGAACCCUCAAGUCCGCUAGCCGAUGCAUAACUUCCUGAAGGUGUCGAUCAUGAAUCCUUUGACGUGCUCGGAGUUCCCUAACUUCGGCUCGAGAUGCAGCCAGCUGAUGCUGCAGAGCCUCAUCGGUCCUCCUUGUCCUGUCCAUGGCUUCUUCGAGUUGGCGGAUGCAAAUAGUGUUGAGAUUCGAGUUGGCAUCCACUUCUACAACUCGACCAAUGGUCUGUUCGACAUUCCUGGCAAUCCUUCGGACCAUGAAGGGCAGAACUCGGUCCGCUGAUCCUCCUUCGCUGAUGUUGUAGAAGCUUCGGUCUCCAUUGUAAGGUAAAGGCUGGACCUGCUCCUCACUCCAUCGGUUCAGGUAUAUUACCCACAAGGGAGUGGGACCCUGAAAUGCCGAACGGGGGUUGGGGUUCGGAGCUCCAGGAGGUAGGUUGUUAACUUCUGCCUCGGAGUCGGAGCUAUCCGAAAAGCCUUCAGCUCGAUGGUCGUCCAGAGGGAUCUGGUGAUCAUCGUCCGACUCUUCAUCGAGCCAUCCUCCAUUGCCCUGGUUUGGGUAGUACGAGUCGCCGGGUAGGUGGAAGCCAGCCAUGCUAUCUAUGCGAGAAAGGGGAAAAGAAGAUUAAUAGACGUACUAACCUAAUUUACUUAUAAGAUGAUCUUCACGAGUUGGACCAAUACUUGCAUAAUGCAUACUAAUUACAUGUGAUCAGGGCAGGAUAGCCCGUCGAAUAAGUGACCCUAACUCUAAAUCCACAACCUAACAAGGAACGUGAAGUAAAGAAAAUAUCACGGAUUCUAAGUCUAUAACGCCCUAAUCACAGGUAACCGGAAAGUAUCCAUUUAGCAACCAGUGCUCCAUUAGUAACGACCCUUUUUAGUUCUCACAUAUGUAUGUUUUAGAGAUACAGAAUACUCCUAUAGUAUUCUUAUGCUAGCGGUAUUAUGGUAGUGUUGGUAAGUUUUAGACUUGUUGCAACAUCACAACCAAGCUUAGGCACAUGCUAGUCACUCUCAGGAAAGUGUAGUUGAUCAGGCUACAUCCCCCCCAAAUGUGGCUAUAUGUCUCUAAGCCCAAUUGUGCUAUCCAACAAUCUUAAUACUUUUGUUCUGUUCUAGGGUGAUACUGGCUCCUGCGUUUUAUAGAGAUGUGUGUAUAUAUAUACUUAGUUAAAUCUUUUAGAUACUUAACAGUAUAUAUUCUUGGUCAAAGUUUUUUAGUCCCGAAGUGUUUAUAGUUCGUAUAUCUUUUACAGGUUGAUAUACUUGAUUCACUGUAAACAAUGCUCUGAUACCAAUCUGUACUCCCCAAAACCGAUAACGGCGGAAUACGUUUCGGGGUGGAGGACGUCAUGUAUUGUAUCAUCACAAUCGCAUAAUAGUAAAAACAAGAAACAUACAACCAUUUCAUUUACAUAGUGAGUUUAAUUACAAGUGUGUUCUGCAAAGUUUCAAUAGACACCAAAAGUAAUACAAAAAUAAGAGAUGGAUCUUGUAUGCUCCAUCUUCUCCAAAAUGUUGCACCUGUACCUGUCUAUCUUUGACCUGAGGAUACAAGUUAUUUUGAAAACGAAUAUCAACAUAAAGUUGGUGAGUUCAUCAGAAUUUAGUGUGAAUUUUGUAUAAAAUGUAUUAGAACAUAUAGUGUGAAAUACUGCAAUAUACAUGUAUAAGUAGUAGAAAGCUCUAGAAAAUCCUAUAUUUUCCAGAAAAUUCAUCGUAAGUGAAAGACUCUAAGUUGCAUGUAAGUUUUAUCUUUGAAAACUGUUUGUUGUAAAAGUGGGGUACUAAAUCUCCAGUAUGUAGUAUUGGUAAUAGAAAAGUUAUGUCUGUUGAUAGUGAUAGUGGUGUGAACUUCCAUUAGUAAUAGAUACUUACUUACUACGGGAUAUUAACUGAGACUCUAGUCUUAGUAUUUUAGUGUGGAUAUAGUGUAUUCCUUGAAUGCGACUGUUAGUGUGAGUAAUAGAGAACCCCAUGACCUUCCCGGUCAUGCACAGUGUAGUGAAGUAGCGUCAUCCCUGGGCUUGCAUAGCUCGGACUGAAGUUAACAGUCGGGAUGUAAUAGUGUCUGCCCUGUAUAGAUCUAUACAUGUAGCGUCGUCUUCCUAUCGGAAAACCCUGGGCAUAGUAUGCAGCGAGUAGAGUAUCUUGUAGUGAAUUAGUGUGUAUUUUCCUAAUUAGUGCUUCCUCUUGUAUUAUAGUGUAGUAGUAUUUUACAUAGUUCGUAGUGUAUUCUCCCUUUCAUGUAUAGUCUCGUAAUAGUAUGUAUUAUAGUAUGUAGAUUAGCGACAGUAGCGAGUAGUAGUGGCCUUAACUAUACCUAUUAUAGUUAACUUAGUGUGUAUGGUUCUUGUCAAUUUAGUAGAUUAGGCAUCGAAUGGAAAGAAAAUGCUCAUAUCCAACAUCAAUAUACAUGAUAUAUAACUAAGAAAUCAACGAAAGUCAGACGGGUAACAACUACCCUAACCCCACAAUCAAACAAGAACAGGAAAUAAGGCGAGUUAUCGGUCCUAAGUCCUUCAAGUCUUACUUAUAUAAAUAUAUUAGUGUGGUAAAUCACAUGUGAUUUGAACUACGAAUAGUGAAUUACAUGUGAUUAAUUUUUAUAAACUUGUAUAAUUGACUUGUAUCCCCCCCCCCCCUAAAACAUAUAAAAACAUUUGAAAGGUUCAUUAAAGGGUAUGAACUCACAGUUUAUCGUAGGGUUCGAGUGUCAACGGAUGCCCUGAAUGCCAAUGGUCCCUAUAAAUCAUGUGAUGACACAUAAUUGGGUUAGAAUUUGGGUGUUUCAUGCUUAAACAUGAUGGGAAAACAUCCUUAGGGCUUGGCAUUACAGAGUACAAGUGUCUCAUGAUCCAUACUUAACGAUUCAUGCAAGUUUAGGGCCAAAAGUGGGCAUUUGAGUGAGUGCAUGGCCUUGAAAUUGAGUGUGCGGCUGAGGUGUGCGGCCAUAAGGGUGUGUGAGGCUGCGCACAAGUGUGUGCAUCCGUUCGGGGUGUGUGUGCGGCCGUACACAGGAGUGUGCUGUCGUACACUCCUCUUGUUAUUCCAUAUGAAGUGUUUGCUCUUCACACUAAGGAGAUUUGAAUGUGUGUUGCCCUCCUUCAUGAAGGUGUGCGGCCGUACACCUUCAAGGGACUAUGAAUGUGAUGAACAUUAUGAGUUUUAAAGCUUGGGAUUCAAGUGUUUACAACUAAUAAGCUUGAAGAUGAACUAGAUCACAAAUAUGAGGCCUUCAAGGGGUUCUUGGUUGAAGAUUUUAGAGAGAGGAAGUAGAGAGAGGGUAAGGAGCAUCCAAAUGAAUGAAUGAAGAGGGUAUCCAUUUAUAUAUAUGUUUGGGUGUGAGGCUGGAGGGUGUGUGGUUGGGUGUGCGGCCGCCCACAUGGGUGUGUGGCCGUACACACAAGAGUGUGGCCGCACACACCUCUUUUGAUGUGUUUGAUCCGAUUCCAUGAUGCAAAACACUUUCCAACUCCUCCUAAGACCCAUAACUAGACUAUAUUAUGUCCAAAACACGCACUUGGAACCACAAGAUUUACAAUGGAUGAUGAAUUCAAGAUUUAAAUACAAUACGCGGACCAAUUACAUAGGAUGAAAAUUUUGGGUUGUCACAAUUGUAGAUCUCUUAAAGAAGCAAAGUUGUGACAAAGAUGCUGACAUGAGCGCUCGGGUUGCCAGAGAGGCUGAGGCGACCGAAAGAAAAUUGAAGGAGGCUCAUGACCUUCUUGAGAGUAGGAAAACCCUUUUUCCUCCGUGGACUCUUGAGAAGCUUUUGAAAGAGGCGAUUGAAACUCCCAACAUUCUAUGGCUUGAACCAGUGAUUUCAUUGGAACGUAUCAACUCUAUCGAUUCUCAGUUCGACAUGCCACUGACCCGAAAAGCCUUCAUCUUCCAUGCCUUUGAUAACGUUGCUGAUGUUCCUCAUCCUCAUCCAAAGGUUGAUAGGGAAUUCGUUGAAUUCUAUCUAAAGUGUACUCAACCACAGUAUCAAACUUGGAGCACUCAGAAGAUAGUCAACGUUCGGGUCCUCAAGCCAUUUAGUGAGGGGAACUUCACGAACGUUCGGUUCAACGUGCUGAGGGGUUCUGCCAAAACCGAACAUGCCAUAUCGCUUGCUGAUCUUCCCAACCCGAAUCCACAUGACUGGAUUAUUUUGCACAACAUCCUCCUCACAAAUGAAGCUGAGUAUAGUCCGAUUAUUGAUCACUUCAAGAGGAUGCUCGUGUGCUACAUCAUGGAAGUUGCCAACAUGGAUCUGGAGAUAGCUAGCAUAUUCAAGAAAAAGCCCACUAUUUCUCCUGUUGGCUCUGCUAGUGAUCUGAACAUGAUGCAGAUGGGAAGGAUCGAUCCAAAACGGAAUUAUGUCAUGUUUACAACGAACGAAGGCCAAAAAUGCCUAUUCGCCUUGGCUGACAAACACCUUUACACCACUACAUGUCUGGAACAUGUUCUAGGUACCAUUCAUCGAUGCAAGCAGAAUUCAGCAGACGACAAGAACUACUUCGAUGACAUGAUCCAGUGGUAUAUUCGCUUCAGACAGACCAUUCUUGCUCUUAUCCCACGUCUGUUCGAAACCACCAAGAAAGUUCCUGCAGCUGGACCCAACAAGCCGAAGUGAUAGUCUCGCUCCAAUGGACGCAAAGGGGGAGAUUUUUAGGUCCAAAAGGUGUUGCGUCUUGGGCUCGCUAAUUAGUCCAUUUAGUCUCCGGUAUGGGCCUGUCCAUCGGUGAGUUAUUUUAUAGGGUUUUGUAUUUAUAGGUGCUUGCAUGCAUCCUAGUACAAAAGAUUUUGGAAGAAAUUCUGUCAAGGAUUUUUGAUCUUUAUCUUUUGUAACCCUAAUAUCCUCUACAACGGAAGUUCUUUAUCGAGCUCUGCUGAGGAUUGAAGCAAUCGAAUCAUUCGACUUAUUCAGAUUCAUUCUUGUGUUUUAUAUUGUUGUUUUUGCUUUUGUGGUUUACCUGUUAUAAGAUUUAAAUGAUCAAAGAGUUUCUUAAACUCAUCAUUAUGAUUUUAUAUAGGGAACUUUUUGGUCAAUGGUUUGUGGGCUCAGAUUCUUUUUGACUCGGGGGCUACCCGAUCUUUUUUAUCUCUUGCGCUCAGCAAGAAGUUUCAUCAUGCUCCGAGACCUUGGAUUCCCCAAUCGAGGUGGAGAUUGUAGUUGAACGCAUCGUCAGUGCUACAAGGAUAUUUCAUAGGAGUUUUCUGAUAAUGUUCGAGGAGAGGUUUCCUAUCGAUUUGGUUCUGAUUCCUUUGCGACGAUUGAAGAUGAUUGUCAGGAUGGAUUGGUUGGAGCCCAAUUGGGCCAUGAUAGAUUGCGAGCGUCAGUUAUUAAGGGUUCAUUCCCGAAGUGGGGGACGACUGGUUAUUAGUGGAGAGAGAGCUUCAUAUGGGCCAGCUCUUUGUUCGACUAUGAGGGUAGGAGACUUCUUCAGUAAGGUUGUACUGGGUUUUUGGCUUACAUUUCAGAUAUGAGGACGGAUGCCACGCCAUGUAUGAGCAAGGUACCAAUUGUGCGAGAUUUUCCUGAUGUGUUUCUAGAAGAGUUACCUAGGAUACCUCCCAAGAGGAAAUUGGAGUUCCGUAUUGAUUUAGUGCCUGGUGCAGCUCCGAUAACUAAGGCGCCAUGUCAUCUAGCUCUGCCUAAGAUGUAGGAGUUGUCUAUGCAGCUUCAAGAGCUACUAUACCAGGGAUUUAUUCGUCCGAGCAGUUUUCCCUUGGGAGCACCGAUUCUAUUUGUGAAAAAAAAAAGAAUGGGUCGUACAGGAUGUGUAACACUAGUGCAAAUAGGUCAAUAAAAAUCACAUGUGAUUAUACCAAUCAUGUAAUGUAAUUUUGUUAAAACUAGUAAUGUAGUAAACUUACUAUGUAUUUCAUGAUAAUUCUAAUAUAAAUAUGAACUUUCAUACAUACUUUAUUUGACAACCCGAUAUUACGACUCUAUGUAAUGACCUAAAAAGUCUAGUAUUGUAACCACUUUUGAUAUAAUGAAAUUAACUUCGAAAAAUAAAUGUGAAAAAGUGUGACAACCCGAUAUUUCAACUCUAUGUAAUGUCCUAAAAAGUCAAUUAUUGUAACCACUUUUGAGUUAAUGAAAUUAACUUUAAUAAUAAAAUGUUCAAAAAGUUUCUAUUUAAUUACCUACUAUGUUUGAUAUCAUUAAACCGUGAUCGUACGUAAAAAGAAUGCCCAAAUCCGGCUUCGUAUAUUGAAGUUAUGAUUUUUCCAAAGUUCGGCUUAGCAACAGACAACUAAAAACUCAAAUCGGAGAUCGAGCGACUUUUGGCCAGAAUGACCUAAACGAGAAUCUAAGGUCUCGACAAUGGUAUUUUAGCGGUAAAAAGUCUGGCAAAAAUCGACGUCAGAUAAAGAAGUUACGAAUUUCUAAAGAAAUUCCUUAAACAUGACAUUUUAAAAAUAAAUAAUAAAAAUAAGUUCGGAAUUUGCCGACGGAAUCUUAGCGAAAGUUGUAGAGCGUAGUCUCACCUACGCGUGGAUAUAAAGACCAUCGAAAACGGAAUUCGUAUGAAGAAGAUAUGAAUUUUAGAAGUUUAUUAAUUAAAUAAAAUAUAAAUUUAAUUAUAAAUCUUUGGUAUUAUCCGAAGGGAGUCAUCAGAUAGGGCCGAGUUACGCCCCGCUAAAGCUCGUACGCCCCGCGUACUCAAGGCCUAGGCCUCGGAUCGUCCACGUCUCGGCCUAUGCGAAGCUAGCCCCUGUCCCAUCCGAAGUUCGAGGCAGUCGAGGAUUCGGUCAUCCGUGACGUACGUGUACGCCCCGCGUACCGAGGCGGUUCCCCGCCCCUAUAAAAGGGAUGCGAGGGUUCCGAAGAAAGGGCUCCAUUUCUCUCAUUUCCUUUACGUUCUUGCCUCGUUUUGUGUGCCCAUGCUAACCCGAAGCCCUGGUCAUUUCCUCAAGUCCCGAAGAUCGUUUGUACUCCCGAGAAUCCUGAGAAAAAUCCGUUUCCCGAGACGAAAUUCUGCCCGGUUUCCAUCUCGCUUUCUUCAAACUUUCAAGUGAGUUCAUACCCCUUAAUCAACCCUUUUCAAUAUUGUAAAUGCUUUUAUAUGCUUUCAAGGGGGGGAAUAUAAGUAAAACACACGAUUAUUAUCGGCUGUUAUAUAUAAAGUUUUAUUAUACACUUUUAUUAAAUAGAAUCAUAUGUGAUUUAUAAACUUUAUAGGGAACUCUAGUAUAUAAAAUAUCUUACAAUAGCAUUGUAUCUUUUGAAAUAUAAAUUGUUGUAACGCAUGUAUAAAACUAAACAUUUUGCUUAGAUUAUAUGUAUACGUGUCUAUCUUAGACACUAUAAAAAUCUAUACUUUUAGAUCAAGUGAUUCAUUUUUCUAGGGACUUCUAAACAAAUGAGACAUACUUUUAAGAAAGCUAUAAUAGGUAUAGUUUUACGAGAAUUUUGCUACCUUUUACAUACUAGAAACACAAUUUUCAAGAAGUCACUUUCGUAUACAUGAACAAACGAACAUUUUAACACGUAAAUCUGUUUUUAUACUAGGAUUUGUGAGACAUUAACUUCACGUACGUUCGAGUACACAUUUAAAGUCCUGUAUUAUAUACUAGAAUCCCUUGGAGGGGGAGCAUGGUGUUUGUGUAUAGAUCUAUACGGGCUUGACAACCCGCGCCUUGACUGUUAGCUGCAGUCCACCAUUUGGGGUGACAAACGUCAUAACAUUCCAAUGCUUAAAGAACGUUGUGUAUAGGAAUUCCGAGUCAAUAGUAUGGUUAUAAAACUCACAUGGGGUAUUAAAAAUACAUUGAUUUACAAGGUUUUCAAACAUUUUGGUUAUUUUACACUUACAUACAUUUUUAGAAACAAACAUUGGUCUUAAGAGAAGGCUACUUUGAUACUAGUAGAAAAUAUAGGAUUUUCUAGAAACAAACAAACAAGGACAAAACAUUUCAUUUCAUACAAACAUUGUCAUUUAAUACUUAUGAAACUCACCAGCUUAAAUGUUGAUCUACUCUUUCAAAAAUUUACAUGUAUGUCCCAGGGAUUCAGUAAUUACAGGUAUCAAAAUGCUUUUGAAGAAGGGACAUUGCGGCGCCAGUUACUCAUAUUUUGACAUCCUAUUUUAAUUGGUUUUGAACAUGUAACUUUUGACAAAUGUAAACUUUCAACUAUCUAUAUGUUGGUUGUAUUGAUUUCUUUACUAUGUAUUUAUUUGUUACGUUACCACAUGAAGUCAUCCGCCCCCGAACGUUUCCGCCAUUCAGGUUUGGGGGUGUGACAAAAAGUCUUUAUAGGAAUUUCUAUUAUGUUGGAUAUUGUGUCAAGGUUUACAGAAAUACUAAGAACACUAAAAUCCAAGUUAUAACGAAGAAGUUAUGACCAUUCUAAGAUUCUCGGCAAAACCAGCAACACCGAUUAAACGAUAAACGCGAAGUUUCAACACAAUAGUUUUUAGCCUUAAGUAUCUAAAUGAAAGUUGUAGAUAACAUUAAACCGUAAACAUACGUAAAAAGAACGUCCAAAUCUAACUUCAUAUGAGGAAGUUAUGAUUUUUCGAAGAUUUAGAUAUAGCAGUAGACAGCUAAAAACUCGAAAUAGCGAUCGAGAUACUUUUGGCCGAAACAACCUCAAUGAGUAUUGAAGGUCUCAAAAAUAUUAGCGCAACGGUAAAAAGUCUGACAAAAACGGACAUCGCAUGAAGAAGUUAUGGAUUUUAACGGAUUUUUCACGUCCCGACCCGUUAAAAAUAAAUAAUUCAAAAUAAAUUCAAAAUUAGCCGAUGAAGUUUAAACGAGAGUUGUAGAGUAUAUUCUCACCUACGCGUGCAUAUAAACAACGUCGAAAACGGAGCUCGUACGCGAAAGUUACAUAUUUUAAAAAUUCAAGGCACAAAAUCCGAGGCUGUCAGAUUUGCCAUGACGUGGCACAGUUCGUCGCGACCCGGUCAGUGACUGAGAGCGUCCAAUCAUCAGAAGAGAAUAUGGCUGACUCACCACGACGUGGCACUCAAAAAAUGGCCCUAUAAAUAGAUUUAAAGGGCUCCGGGUUUCAUUUCUCAGUUCCCUUCUUUCUCGCACCGAAACUCUGCGUUUAAGCCCCCCGAGACCCUCCCGAAGCCCCGGUUUUCACCUUCGUGUUCCGAAGGAAGGUUCUUUUGUUCCCGGUAUUCUCGAAAUUCCCGAGAAAAUCAACUUUUCCAAGUCAAGGUUCUGCUCGAUUAUCAUCUCGCUUUCUUCGAUCUAUCAAGUGAGUUCAUACCACUAUAAACUACACUUUCCAAUGUUUUAUCAAUUCUUUUAUUACACUUUUAAGGGGGGGGGGGAAUACAAGUAAACACACGGUGUGUAACAUAAGAUUUCACUAUAUAGUCUUUUAUCAAGUGAAUCAUAUGUGAUUCAUAAUUACUACAUAGGAACUUUCGUAUGCAAUAUAUAUUCUUGAUAACAUCUUGUCUUUUGGAAAUAAAACAUGUUUAUAUAUGUAUAUACGAAUCAAACACUUUAUUUAUACUUUAGUAUAUGUGAUCAUUUAUGUCACUUUAAAUGUUAUGCUUUACAUAACAAGUGAGCAUUACACUAGGGUUUACUAUACAAACCAAACACACACUUUGAAUAACUAUAAUAGGUAUAGUUUACGAGGAAAUCAUGAGCAUUUACAUAAUAGAAACACUAUAUCGAAGAGAUACUUUCAUAUACAAGAACAAAUGGACAUUUUCAUACGUAAAUCUAUUUUAUACUAUGUUUUGUGAGACAUUUCACAUAGUUUCGAGUAUGCAUUUUAAGUCCUGUAUUAUAUACCAUAAUCCCUUGUAGGGGAGCGUGAUACUUAUGUAUAUAUCUAUACGGGAUUGACAAUCCCGCACCUAAGCUGUUAGCUAAAGUUAGGCCGGUUGGCCUGGGGUGACAAACGUCAUAACAUUCCAACGCCUGAAGAACGUUGUUACAGGCAGUCUGGUUCAUUAAUAUGGUUAUAAAACUCACAUGGAGUAUUAGAAACACGUUGGUUUAUGGGUUUAUCAAAUGCCUUAGUGGUUUUAAAUUUAUAUAAAUCUACUACUCUAGGCAUGAAAAACACGAUUUCAUUUUAGUUUUGGAACUUUUAAACUACUACACACUUACGAACAAAUAUUGGAUUUCUAAAGGUAAACAUUAAAAAUAGUUGAGUCAUGGUAGAAGACUACUUUUAUACUAGUAGAAAAUAUGGGAUUUUCUAGGAACUUUCAAACAUGUACAAACCAUUUUAUUCAGUUUUAUACAAAUGUAGAACAAAUUUCAAACGUUUUCUUCACACUUAUACGAAUAAUUACAUUGAACAAUUCCAAACAUUUUCUUCAUACUUAUACGAACAAUUACAUUAAAUAAUUCCAAAUGUUUUCUUCAUACUUAUAAGAAUAAUUACAUUGAACAAUUCCAAACGUUUUCUUCAUACUUAUACGAACAAUUACAUUGAAUAAUUCCAAAUGUUUUCUUCAUACUUAUACGAAUAAUUACAUUGAACAAUUCCAAACGUUUUCUUCAUACUUAUAAGAAUAAUUACAUUGAAUAAUUCCAAAUGUUUUCUUCAUACUUAUACAAAUGAUGACAUUAAAUACUUAAGAACUUGCGAGCUUAAAUGCUGACCUACACUUUCUAAAUAAUUUGUAUUCUCAGGUCACCAGUAGACAGGUACGAUGACCAUGUUUUGAGAAGACAGAGCACUCAAGACUCUUCUGUUAUUUUGAUUUCUUGUUGUUAAUCUCUUAUUACUAUGUAAGAUUACCCAUGUAUUAAACUAUUACUAUUAAUGCAAUAGACGAUGUUGUUGCUUGUUUACUACUUUACCUUGUAUUGAUACUUUACAUGAUGUGACAACCCGAAAUUUCCAUUUGUACGAACAGUAUCUCUUCAAUAGAAGCCAAUCCAAUUUCAGUGAUUUUCAGACUUUUCCGAACAAGUUUGUGUACAUUAGGGUUUACACUUUAGGAGAUAUCAGGAGAGUGGAUGCUCCUGGGUUUGUGAAAUUUGAACAUUUCAAGUUUCAUAAUGUUACAGUCCAAGUUUGAGAAUAAAAAUAUUUUCUGUCAAAAUAUUUCAGCACUAUAAAUAGUUUUCUGAAUUAAAUUAAUUCAUUAUUCACAAUUCCAACUAGAGAAAAGCCAUUUUCUCUCUGACGGAUCUUCGGGUUUUUAUCCCAGAUUGUGAGUAACUCUUUCUAGUAGUGUUAGAAUACAUAUUAGAUGCUUAUAACAUGAUUUAGAUGGCUAAAUCAUUAGAUCUAGGAGUUUACUCCCCAAGGUGUUCUUGGGCGGUAAACUCCCGAAACGAAGCCAAAACCGACACUUGUGCUAUGAUAAAGCCUUAGACCAUUAUGUAUGCAUGUUAGGGACAAGAAAACACACACAAAUCCACCCAAGAUUGGGAGUUUACGGCCCAGAACUCUCUUAGGCCGUAAACUCCAUUUCCUAACACUAAAAGGUGUUUUGAGGACACUAGGACUUUAAGGCUUGCAUCUAGGCUAUUUUCCCAAGUAGUUUAAGGUCUUAAACACAUCAAAUGACACAAAUGAAAGUGAGUUUACGGCCCAAGUGAAGCUUAGGCCGUAAACUCCAUAUAAAUGGACAUAAAGGGUGUUUUCAUGACACCUAAAGCCCUAGACCUUUACAAGAAAUUGUACCCACUAAAUGGAGGGACCAAAGCACACCAAAAUCACUUAACCAAGUGAGUUUAUGGCCAAUACAUGGUUCUUGGGCCGUAAACUCCUAAAAAGGGGCACUAAGGUGUGCCUAAUGCCUUCAUAUGCUAGGAAUAAAAGUCUAGAACAUAUCCCACAAGUGCAAGAGGCUUGGAAGCAACAAAGGAAACACCCCAAGAGAGUUUAUGGCCGUAAACUCCAAGGGGAAAUGGCCUUGAGGCCGUAAACUCCUAUUUGGAGUACUUCUAUACGUUAAACCCUUCGAAGGACUUAGCCACUAAGUUAGAAUAAUUCUAGAAAGCAUUUGGGACUUCAAAACACACCAAACACACAUGUGUGGGAGUUUACAGCCAUAAACUCAAGAGUUUAAAACCGUAAACUCCAUGUGUGAUGGUUUAUGCAGAGUAAACUCUCAUGUAGGGUCCUUUGGAAACCCUAAACUCAAGUACCCUGUCCCACAAUAGCUUAGAUGAAGUCCUUACGGCUUAAAACAACUACAUAAAGUGUUAGCUAUGUCUAGGAUGUGUUUAACAUUAUCAAUUAGUCUUUUGAGUCUAAUUGAGUACAUAUAUGUGUGAUUAUAUGUUCAUUAGGAUUGUAGUGUGUGCACAAGUCCUCGCUUGACAUCUAGCCAUCCUAUACCGUCCAGUUCAUCCCAAUCACCAACUACAGGUGAGUUCAUACUCCUAAUCAAUGUUUUAAAUGAUUUUAAAUGCUUUAAUGGGGGGGGGGAAUACAAGUAGAAACAAACAUGUUAUUAAAUCAUUGAUAUGUAUUUUAUAACUGUGUUUGUCAGUUAACAGAUUUCACAUGCUACAAAAUGUGAUGCAUGAAAUGGUUUUACAUCUUAAAAGCACAUUGUUACCAAAUGUUUUACCUUUGAAAUGUUUAUUCAAAUGACAUCAAGUCAUUGUUAAUUAUUGUUCAAAACCCAUAAGAUGUCUUACAAAACCAUUUUUACAUUCUUGAACUAAACUAUGCAUAUACACUUACAUUCUUAUAUAUGUAUUGAUGUUAUAGUUUGCACCUUGCAUUUAGUUUCUCACACCCUUGAGUAGUAAGAGUGUGUAAACUUACAUGAUCAACUAGUUAUAUUACAGUAGAUUAUCAUAGGGAUAAUGGGAAGAUAUCAAACAUUACUUCUAUUACAAGGAGUCACACAAGAGUCAGUUCAUUCAUGAGUCUAUACUAGUACAUUACCUGAUACAUGAGUACUUACAGAUGUUUACUUGAUACAUGAAUAUGUUUACAUAUACUUACCUGUUACAUGGACACACAUACAUGAAUACCAUACAGGAACACUUUUACAUAGGUGCAUUAUCCUGUAUUCACUUACCUGGAUACUUGUACUUAGGACUAUGAAGAUGAUUUAUUAGUACUUACUGUGUAAAUUGUCUUUCCUAUCCCGGUUCAAUGGAAUAACUAGACGGGACUUACCAUUCUGAACCCCACUGUUUAGCACCAGUGGUCGAUGACCAUCUUCGGAGGUCUAAGGUUACUACUUAUAUUAGGAAAUCGAUUUGGGACUAACCCUUCCACCCACCUGCUGCUGCUACAGAGGACAAUUGGACAAUCUUCGGAUGUUCAUUAGGUUAUACAUUUCGCUUAAUGCGAUGUUGUGUUGGUCCUAGUACCCAGUGACAACACUUACAAUAUUACAUUUUUCCUGUUUACUUUAUUUUGUGACACAUUCACAUAAACGAUGAGUUAGACUAAGCACUUUUAGUACUAGUCAACACAAAGGAAAAACUAUCAUUUUACAUACAGAACAUUCGGGUCUUGGUAGAAGACUACAUUUCAUACUUACAAAACAUUCGGGUCUUGGUAGUAGACUACACUUCAUACGUACUGAACAUUCGGGUCUUGGUAGAAGACUACAUUUCAUACUUAUAGAAAAUAAGGGUUUUUCUAGGGAUUUCAUACUUAUCUCAACAUUUUCAUUUAACGAUUUGCAUGGCCUUCAUAACAGAUUUUCCAAAACAAGGCAAUGACACUUAUAUACUUAUGAAUUCACCAGCUUUAAAGCUGAUACUCGCUUUCAAAAUAACUUGUAUUCUCAGGUCAUCAGUAGACAGGUACGGAGACCAGGUUUUGAGAAGACGGAGCAGAAAAGUCUCGUCUUUUAUUUUGAUUGUAUAUUUUUGGUGUCUUACUACAAUGAAAGAACACACAUGUAUUAAAACUUUACUUAUAAUGCAAUGGAUGAUGUUGUUGCUUGUUUAUUAUACUACACUUUGUGAUACUGUACAUGAUGUCCUCCACCCCUGAACGUUUCCGCCGUUCGUGGUUUUGGGGUGUGACACGUGGCAUCCUCCGCCCCAGAACGUUUCCGCCGUUCUAGGUUUUGGGGUGUGACAGAUUGGUAUCAAAGCAUUGUUUAUAGUGAAUUAAGUAUAUCAACCCAUAAAAGAUAUACUAACUAUAAAUACAAUGGGAUUAAAAUAUUCUGACCAAGAGUUUAUACUGUUUGAUAAUAAAAUAUUUAAUUAAGUAUACGUGCCUGUAUUCAUACUAAAAUCAGUGUCACAAUGACAAGAACAAAAGUAUUAUGAUUGUUGAAUAUCACAAGUAAGCUUGGGGAUGUAUGGUCUGUCCUCGGAAUGGCAUAGCCAGAUCAACUAUGCUGGUCCGAGGAGUGAUUAGCAUAUGCGCAAGAAUGGUUGUGAGAUGGAAACAAGUCUAAAAACUUACCAACAUUACCACAAUGAGAACAUUAUAACGGAACGUAAGUCUAAAAUACCAUAGGGGUGUUUUGUGUUACCAUAAUUACUUACUUGAGAACUAAAAAGGAUCUUCACUACUAAGUUGAUAGUUGUUAAGUGGAUACACUAAGGCUCUGUGUAACUAGGAUGUUAUAGACUUAGAAUCGGUGAAAUUUUUGCUUUACCCCUAUCCCUUGUGAAUUUGGAGUUAAGGUCACUUAUUCGAAAGCAUGUCCUGUGUUGAUUAAAUAUGACUGGUAUGAACUUUACAAAUAGCAAUGUAACUAAUUAAGAUUUUCUAAUAAUUAUCUAGAUAGUUCGUCUAAUAAUUAUUUCCUUACCCCAAUUCUCGCAUAGAUAACAUGCAUGGACUACAUCCCCAUGAGAACCCGUACUUUCCAUACUAAGUCAUUGCUGGAUGGUUUGGAGAAGGACCAGAGAAUGAUCAUCGAACAAUCACCACGCCGAAGACCUCACGGAUGAUGAUAAUGAUGGGUUUUGGCCAUAUGAACAUUCCUAUGUGCACAUACAAACCCUAAUGCUUGGAUCUAGGUUUCUAUAAUUAAACAUGCAUUGGAUCCAAGACUUGUAAUAGCUAAUAGAGUAUAAGAACAAUACAAAAUCAGAGUUAAAAGCUUACCUUGAAACACUUGUUUGAUCUACUUGUUCUUGGAGCUUUAGAGUCACAAAUGUCACUCCUCUAAUGGCUUACAAACACCAACUAGCAAGAGGAUGAUUUAGGAGAGAGGAGAGGGAAGAAAUCGGCCAGGGUUUCUUUGCUUUUUCAGAGGUGUCGAUUUCCCUUGCCCUAAGGGUCUAUUUAUACUUGUAAGGCUCCUAGGGUUUCACCCUUAAACCCUAAUUGGAUAACUUUUACUCAAAGCAAUCCAAAUCCUUUCCAAGAUAAGCCCUUGGACGAUUUGUGGCUUAUCCCAAGCCCUAGAAAUCGUCCAACCCUAUCCAUGAAGGAUUUACAGCCCAAAGUGUAACUAUCAAACAAUUGACAGUUUAUACCCUCUUAUUUAAUUAAUCUCUUUAAGUCACCAAAUUAAUUUUAAUUAAUUUAUGACUUAUAUUAAUCAAAUAACAAUAUUAUUAUUCCUCAUAUUAUUCUCAUAAUAUAAUAAAUAAUAUUUAUUCUCUCACCAAUUCAUGACAAUCUUCAUUCAUAUCUACACGCCAUAAGCACUCAUGAACAUUGCAGCAACCCUUUGCUAUGUCUAAUACCAUUUAGACAAUCUACACACCAAUUCAUGACAGUCUUCAUUCAUAUCUACUUCCAACAUAUGAACAAUUGUGGACAAUUUGAACAAUUUGAUUAUUCUUAAUAAAUUCAAUUAUUCUAGAAGUCAAAACAUGCAAAAUGAAACAAUAGUUAAACAAUUAACAUAAGACAGUAACAUUACUCAUAAAUAAUAUUCUUUUAUUUAAUCAUCAAAUGUUAAUUACAUUUAUCUAUUACACGUUUCUACUUCUAUUAUCUAAUCUAUGCUAAUAUCAUCCUUCAGCCCAAUACUCCUAGCAUGCUGCAAGUGCUUAACCUUACUCAGUCCCUUCGUAAGCGGAUCUGCUGGGUUAUCUUCUGAUGAUAUCCUCUUCACUACGAGUUGUCCUUCUUCUACACUAUGUCUAAUAAAGUGAUAUUUUUUGUCGAUGUGUCGAGAUCUACCAUGAUCCCAUGGUUCCUUGGUCAAGGCAACCGCUCCUUCGUUAUCACAGAAAAUCUCUGUGGGGUCCUUUAUGGUAGGUACAAUUCCAAGAUCACCGAUGACGUUCUUCACCCAUAUUGCCUCCUUCGACGCUUCGCUCGCUGGAAUGUAUUCUAAUUCGCACGUUGAAUCAGCUACGAUUUCCUGCUUGGAACUUUUCCAAGUCACUGCUCCUCCAUUCAGGGUAAAGACCUAGCCCGACUGCGAACGAUAGUUGUUCCUGUCGGUCUGAAAGCUAACGUCACUAUACCCUCGCACCUUCAAGUCAUCACUCCCUCCAAGGACUAAGAACCAUUCCUUCGUCCUCCGAAGGUACUUAAGGAUAUUCUUCACCACAANUUCACCGCGAUCCAAUGGGCUCUGCCAGGAUUCCCUUGAUAUCUGCUAACCAUGCUCAAAGCAAAGGCUACAUCAGGACAAGUACAAGUCAUAGCAUACAUGAUUGAUCCAAAUGCGGAAACGUAUGGUACUCGGCUCAUUUCUGCUAUUUCUACUUCGGUACUUCGGACUUUGAGUCUUACUCAACUUGGCAUUACUUUGUAUCGGUAAUUCUCCCAUCUUCGAGUUUUCCAUACUAAAACGUUUUAGUACCUUAUCUAAGUAAGUGUUCUGAAUAAGUCCUAUUAGCCUAUUACUUCACUCUCUUACUAUCCUUAUUCCCAAAACAUAGGAAGCCUCUCCAAGGUCCUUCAUAGCGAAGCACUUCCCGAGCCAGGACUUAACCUCCUGCAGAGUCGGGACGUCGUUUCCUAUGAGUAGCAUGUCAUCGACAUACAAAACGAGAAAGCUAACUAUGCUCCCACUGGCUUUGACAUAUACACACGAUUCAUCUUCGUUUCGUACAAAUCCAAACUCUUUGACUUUCUCAUCGAAGCAAAGAUUCCAUCUGCGAGAUGCUUGCUUAAGUCCAUAAAUGGACUUCUCAAGCUUACACACUCUAUUCGGAUGCUUCGGAUCCACAAACCCCUCUGGCUGAGCCAUGUAAACAUCCUCAGCCAACUUCCCAUUAAGGAAAGCGGUCUUGACAUCCAUUUGCCAAAUCUCAUAAUCAUGAAAUGNNNNNNNNNNNNNNNNNNNNNNNNNNNNNNNNNNNNNNNNNNNNNNNNNNNNNNNNNNNNNNNNNNNNNNNNNNNNNNNNNNNNNNNNNNNNNNNNNNNNNNNNNNNNNNNNNNNNNNNNNNNNNNNNNNNNNNNNNNNNNNNNNNNNNNNNNNNNNNNNNNNNNNNNNNNNNNNNNNNNNNNNNNNNNNNNNNNNNNNNNNNNNNNNNNNNNNNNNNNNNNNNNNNNNNNNNNNNNNNNNNNNNNNNNNNNNNNNNNNNNNNNNNNNNNNNNNNNNNNNNNNNNNNNNNNNNNNNNNNNNNNNNNNNNNNNNNNNNNNNNNNNNNNNNNNNNNNNNNNNNNNNNNNNNNNNNNNNNNNNNNNNNNNNNNNNNNNNNNNNNNNNNNNNNNNNNNNNNNNNNNNNNNNNNNNNNNNNNNNNNNNNNNNNNNNNNNNNNNNNNNNNNNNNNNNNNNNNNNNNNNNNNNNNNNNNNNNNNNNNNNNNNNNNNNNNNNNNNNNNNNNNNNNNNNNNNNNNNNNNNNNNNNNNNNNNNNNNNNNNNNNNNNNNNNNNNNNNNNNNNNNNNNNNNNNNNNNNNNNNNNNNNNNNNNNNNNNNNNNNNNNNNNNNNNNNNNNNNNNNNNNNNNNNNNNNNNNNNNNNNNNNNNNNNNNNNNNNNNNNNNNNNNNNNNNNNNNNNNNNNNNNNNNNNNNNNNNNNNNNNNNNNNNNNNNNNNNNNNNNNNNNNNNNNNNNNNNNNNNNNNNNNNNNNNNNNNNNNNNNNNNNNNNNNNNNNNNNNNNNNNNNNNNNNNNNNNNNNNNNNNNNNNNNNNNNNNNNNNNNNNNNNNNNNNNNNNNNNNNNNNNNNNNNNNNNNNNNNNNNNNNNNNNNNNNNNNNNNNNNNNNNNNNNNNNNNNNNNNNNNNNNNNNNNNNNNNNNNNNNNNNNNNNNNNNNNNNNNNNNNNNNNNNNNNNNNNNNNNNNNNNNNNNNNNNNNNNNNNNNNNNNNNNNNNNNNNNNNNNNNNNNNNNNNNNNNNNNNNNNNNNNNNNNNNNNNNNNNNNNNNNNNNNNNNNNNNNNNNNNNNNNNNNNNNNNNNNNNNNNNNNNNNNNNNNNNNNNNNNNNNNNNNNNNNNNNNNNNNNNNNNNNNNNNNNNNNNNNNNNNNNNNNNNNNNNNNNNNNNNNNNNNNNNNNNNNNNNNNNNNNNNNNNNNNNNNNNNNNNNNNNNNNNNNNNNNNNNNNNNNNNNNNNNNNNNNNNNNNNNNNNNNNNNNNNNNNNNNNNNNNNNNNNNNNNNNNNNNNNNNNNNNNNNNNNNNNNNNNNNNNNNNNNNNNNNNNNNNNNNNNNNNNNNNNNNNNNNNNNNNNNNNNNNNNNNNNNNNNNNNNNNNNNNNNNNNNNNNNNNNNNNNNNNNNNNNNNNNNNNNNNNNNNNNNNNNNNNNNNNNNNNNNNNNNNNNNNNNNNNNNNNNNNNNNNNNNNNNNNNNNNNNNNNNNNNNNNNNNNNNNNNNNNNNNNNNNNNNNNNNNNNNNNNNNNNNNNNNNNNNNNNNNNNNNNNNNNNNNNNNNNNNNNNNNNNNNNNNNNNNNNNNNNNNNNNNNNNNNNNNNNNNNNNNNNNNNNNNNNNNNNNNNNNNNNNNNNNNNNNNNNNNNNNNNNNNNNNNNNNNNNNNNNNNNNNNNNNNNNNNNNNNNNNNNNNNNNNNNNNNNNNNNNNNNNNNNNNNNNNNNNNNNNNNNNNNNNNNNNNNNNNNNNNNNNNNNNNNNNNNNNNNNNNNNNNNNNNNNNNNNNNNNNNNNNNNNNNNNNNNCAACAAUUGUUCAAAUCUAAAGAUAAACCAUUCCUAAUCACUAAAGAAUACACUCCAAUCUUGGUCACAGGCGACGAUCUUCUGUUCCCCAUGAUUAGAUUUAUUCUUCCAUGCUCCACGUCUCUAUUUCAUCUUAGUCCCUACACAUUAGAACAAAUGUGGUAACCACAACCGGUAUCAGGAACCCAAGAAAUUUCAUCAGAUGAAUCGUUAGAUUUAAUUGUCUAUAUACAUGCGAAAAACGGCUUGAUCUUUCCUUCCUUGAUGGCUUGCAGGUACUUUGGGCAGCUUCUCUUCCAAUGUCCUAUCUUGUGGAAGUGGNNNNNNNNNNNNNNNNNNNNNNNNNNNNNNNNNNNNNNNNNNNNNNNNNNNNNNNNNNNNNNNNNNNNNNNNNNNNNNNNNNNNNNNNNNNNNNNNNNNNNNNNNNNNNNNNNNNNNNNNNNNNNNNNNNNNNNNNNNNNNNNNNNNNNNNNNNNNNNNNNNNNNNNNNNNNNNNNNNNNNNNNNNNNNNNNNNNNNNNNNNNNNNNNNNNNNNNNNNNNNNNNNNNNNNNNNNNNNNNNNNNNNNNNNNNNNNNNNNNNNNNNNNNNNNNNNNNNNNNNNNNNNNNNNNNNNNNNNNNNNNNNNNNNNNNNNNNNNNNNGGAAAUCAUGUUAGUGAAAAUCUCAUAAUGCUCUUGUCUCGCGUUUUGGUGGUAUCUCUCCAAUAAGUCUUGAUGCAUCUCGUACGGGUACAUGUCCUCAUAGGACUUUUGGAAUUCGGAGUUCAUAUCUCGUACAGGUACAUGUCCUCAUAGGACUUUUGGAAUUCAGAGUUCAUAGUGGCUAUCAUGAUGCAAUGUACCUUCGUUGCGUCACGCUCGUGAGUUUCAAAAGCGGUCAUUUCAACCGGAGUAGCGAUUUCAGGGUUGAUUUUCUAGAGCUUCUCAUCGAGGACGUACUCCUUGUCCUCAUAGUGAGCAAUAGUACGAAUGUAUCUUAUCCAUUCGCUAAAGUUCGUUCCAUCGAAAGUGACCUUUUGACAAAGGCUCAUCAAUGUGAAUGAACUAGCAGCAGCAUUGUUUGCGUUCGACAUCUUCAAAUAGAAAGGACAAAGAUUAGAAUAUGAAUCCCUAAUUAUCACCCAAUAAGAAAAUUAGGGCUAGGAUUCAACAACAAUAUUCACAUAUUAGAAAAAGGAAUGUCGUAAUUUAACAUGAAAACAAUUUGAAGGUAAGUGAAUGACAAUUCACUAAUUCUCCACCACAAAACAUAACUUUAAGUUCUACAUGUAUUGAGAAUUCCUAGGUUUGGAUGAGAUUCAUUUAAACUUUUCAAUGGCAUGAUUAAAUCUCGAUAUGCCCCUCUCCUUUGUGACUGGGAUACCGAGGAUCACAAAGCGGGUGUGAAUUACCAUGCAAAUUCACAUGGUUCCUUCAUUGUAACGAUCACCUAUUCGAUUUGCCGGUAAACCACACUUGCUCCAUCGAACUAUGAUAAACAAUGAAUCACCCUUUGCCACCUUUGCUUAGAACCAAUUAGUGUGCCGGUAAACCACACAUGCUCCACUAACUUCUUAGCAAGGGUGCAAAGUGUAAUUUCAUGGGAUUGCAUCAAUUCAUAUUAUACUUUUAAUGAGAGGAUGAGGUUGACCUAUCCUACCCAUUCGGCUAACGACCUUCCACCGAUCAAGCAAGCGGUAGGUGUGAGUGUACACCCAUUAAGAGCCAUUUUAUAGGCAGCAACCUUAUACCCACCUUAUAGACCGGUUUCGUGAAUGAGGCCUACUAACGGUAAGACUAGCCUUUUAGUUAUACAUACAUAUAUAUUAAUCUUGUAAUAUUAUAUUAGUAUAGGGUUGUAUUUUAAACUUUUAAAAAUCGAGGGUUUGAAAUUUAAAUUAUCUAAAUUAAAACUUUUAAUCACAAAACAUAAAUUUCAAAACUUGAGGGCAAGUUUUAAACAUUUAAAACAUGGAGGAUCAAAUAACAAAUAAUCUUAAUUAACAAUUAAUUCCAUAAUUAUCCAUAUUUGAUUUAUUUAAUGAUUUCUUGCAAAAUAAUUUACCAAUUUAAUCAAAAGAAUUAAUUAAUUAUCACAUAAGGAAAUUAAAUAUUUUAUUAAUUUAUAAAUAUCUUUAAUUAGAUCAAGAUUAUAGUCAUAUAUAUCAAAAAAUCGGAUUAGGGUUGAUCUGAUAUGAUAAAGGCAAGUUUCCAUAAGAUAAAUAUCAAAAAAUCUCGAUUUUGGCCCUUCCUGACGCUCGAACUCGCCGAGUGCCCAACUGGACUCGCCAAGUCAGGCCAACUCGCCGAGUCCAUCAUGGGACUCGCCGAGUCCAUGACUCAGAAACACAAAAUUCGAAUUUUGCAAGGAAGAAACAAAAAACAAUGCAUCAAUUUAAUAGAAACCAAUCUAGGCUCUGAUACCACUGAUGGGUUUUGGCCAUAUGAACAUUCCUAUGUGCACAUACAAACCCUAAUGCUUGGAUCUAGGCUUCUCUAAUUAAACAUGCAUUGGAUCCAAGACUUCUAAUAGCUAAUAGAGUAUAAGAACAAUACCAAAUCAGAUUUAUGUGCAUUGGAUCGAGGCUAGAAAACACGAAUUAAAGCUACAUGAUAAAUCUUACCAUAACUCUGAUUUAUGUGCAUUGGAUCCCACUUGGAUUUAUGUGAUGGAUAGCUGAUGUGCUACACGCUAUGCACUGUCAUAUGUUGUAGGCUUCGAUGCGAUCACCAUUCCUUUGAUUUGCGAUGCUAGACCGCAGAUAUAUUGCUCGAUCUUCUUAUAUUCUGUGGUAACUAGUGUUGGACACAUCACCGCAAGAUCAUUAAAUCUAGCAGUAUAACCAUAUAUCUCUGAACCCUUCAUCGUUAGGGUCCACAUUUGUUCCAACUUAUGUAUUUCCUCCCUGGGAAAAUACUCCUCUACUAGCAUCCUCUUCAGCUCUUCCCAUUGCAUGGAAUUGGCAUCAUCUAUACCCAUUGUAUUCACUUCUUUGCUCCACCAUGUAAGUGUUGCAUCAGCGAAGGUACACGCAGCAAAUCGUACCUUACAUUCGUUCGGACAGAAGCUUAUUUGAAAUACUGAUCCUGUCUUUUCAAUCCACCGAGUCAAGCUUGUUGUAUUAAUGUCUAAGUCCAUAACUAUAAUUGGUAAGACUUGACCUGACCCGGCAUGGUCCAUUUGGGUUGCAUAACAUCAUGCACUUGGGUAGACUAUAAUGAGAGAAAUAAGACACUUAUGGUUAUUAAUAUAUUAAAAGUUCUAGUAUAUUAAUAAUAAGAAUAAUAAGAUUAUUUAAUUGAUCAAGAAUUAAUCUAGGAUUAAUUAAGUGAUCAAAAGAAGACUAAUUAAAUAUAUGGGUUGAUUGUGUAAAUCAUCCAUACUUAUAUAGUGGGCUAAUGCUCCAUGGAUAAUCAAGUUGGGCUAAAACCGAUAGGAUGGUCCAUGGAUGCUCCAUGGUGUAUUUGAAUCCAUGGAUCCAAGGAAAUGGAAAUUCAUGACAAUUAGGGUUUACCCUAAUUGUAAAACUAUAUAAAGAUCUUAUUCUUGACAAAAUCGGCCAAUAUAGUGUGUAAAAUAAGGGCUAGCCGAUUUCAUGAAGAGUAGAAUUCUCUCAAGUUAUUCCAAGUGUAUUUGGUGUUGUGUGAACCAUUUGAGGUGUCAUACUUGGGGCACUAGGCACUCAAGCUUCAUGAAGACUUUCUACAUGAAUAAGGUAUGUAUUCUAUCAUGUUAUAUCCAUUGUUUUGUAUGCUAGAUUAGGAUAAUACCUUGGAUGUUCAUAUUUGCAUGUAUAAUAGAGAAAACAUAGAUCCAAGGUAUUUAGGGUUGCAUGUACACUUAGGAGUGUUAGAAUGCUCAAAACCCAACAGUGGUAUCAGAGCNNNNNNNNNNNNNNNNNNNNNNNNNNNNNNNNNNNNNNNNNNNNNNNNNNNNNNNNNNNNNNNNNNNNNNNNNNNNNNNNNNNNNNNNNNNNNNNNNNNNNNNNNNNNNNNNNNNNNNNNNNNNNNNNNNNNNNNNNNNNNNNNNNNNNNNNNNNNNNNNNNNNNNNNNNNNNNNNNNNNNNNNNNNNNNNNNNNNNNNNNNNNNNNNNNNNNNNNNNNNNNNNNNNNNNNNNNNNNNNNNNNNNNNNNNNNNNNNNNNNNNNNNNNNNNNNNNNNNNNNNNNNNNNNNNNNNNNNNNNNNNNNNNNNNNNNNNNNNNNNNNNNNNNNNNNNNNNNNNNNNNNNNNNNNNNNNNNNNNNNNNNNNNNNNNNNNNNNNNNNNNNNNNNNNNNNNNNNNNNNNNNNNNNNNNNNNNNNNNNNNNNNNNNNNNNNNNNNNNNNNNNNNNNNNNNNNNNNNNNNNNNNNNNNNNNNNNNNNNNNNNNNNNNNNNNNNNNNNNNNNNNNNNNNNNNNNNNNNNNNNNNNNNNNNNNNNNNNNNNNNNNNNNNNNNNNNNNNNNNNNNNNNNNNNNNNNNNNNNNNNNNNNNNNNNNNNNNNNNNNNNNNNNNNNNNNNNNNNNNNNNNNNNNNNNNNNUGGAAAUCAUACUUCUUUCACCUCCUCCAAUUAUUCUCCCUAACCCACAAGUUCUUGAAAAGUUUAAGGUCACUCAAGCCCUAUUGGCAAGGCAAGGUCUAGGUGUGAUCACAUCUUGGAGAUGUAGUCACAUAUUGACAAGCCGGGAGAGUUGGGUGUCAAAGUCUUGAGAAAGUUGGUGGUUCAAUCACUUUCUAAGUCACAUAGUGAGUUCCUUUGGGACACCUAUGAAACAGACUAUGACAAGACCCUUAAUGAUCUUAUCUAUUUGUUAAGAUCAACUUCCUUAAAACUUGAUGGACAUUGACAAUAGUGACACAGGAAAUCCAGAAAAGCAUUCUCUUCCCAAUGGAAAGGGAUCGGCCAUAGUCAACUCGGUUGACCAAAUGGUAAAGAGAAAAGCUAAGUCUGUGAUAGUCCCGUGUACCAUUAUCAAAGGGUCCAUAUGUUUAUAUUGCCAAAGAAAGGGGCAUUAGUUGCGAAGCUGCCAAAUUUACCUAAGGAUGUUAAAGUUAAUAAGUUUGACUCUACUUCAGGUAAAGUCCACUAUCUAAAUCUGUUAAGUUUGUAUUCUGAGAUUCUUGAUACAUGAUGUGAAUGGUUCACAUGGUGAUGUUUUAAGAAUAAAAGAAAAGUAAAGAAACUUAAAGAAAGAAUAUGCCGAAUCUGAUCGUGUAGAUGGAUUUCUAUCGCAUAGUUUGAAGAUCGGAUUCUUGAGCUACUUCUUAGGAGUUAUGAGAUAUUGUUUACGAAUAGAUAACAACAAGUUUUCAUAUGGAUUGUAAGGAUAUGUUUUUCCGCAAAGUUUUAAAAUAAAAGAAAAUUUUUGAUUUUAUUUAUUUUAAAAUAUCCUUACAAUGGCAUUUGAGGAAAGAUUGUUGCUUAUAUGAUUCCGUUAAUAGCAAGAGUGGAAAUAUGAAAUUGAUUCUUUCAUUUGUGGUAAUGUCUAAAUUUACCAAAUAAGGAAAGAUUCUCAUCACCCAAGUUUCAAUUGCACCGAAACUUGGAAUCAUGCAAGUUGUAUACCAUGAUGAAUGAGAACUUUCAAGUAUUGGAAAAAUUAAGACUAAUUACUCGGUCACAUGGAUGUGUGAGUCAAGUAAAGGACUAAGGGAUCGAGUACACAUUCUUGUGCACUGAUUAAGUCCACCACAAAAGAUCGAUUAGAUU
rnacentral:lncRNA from 1 species